AAACAAGCCCUUUAAAUUUUGGCUCCAAAAAAUCAGAGAAGACAUGGCUAAAAUAAUCAACCGGUAAUUACAAAGCUGCAAAUUUUAAUUUGUUGAUUGCAAAAAUAUGAGUCACUUUCUUCUAGUUUAGCAUUUUUUGAAAAGGCAGGGGAGGAAUAUGUUGCUGGAUCCCUUAAGUUUUGUUAUACUCUUCCAACCACAUUCUCCUUGUCACAAUCUUAUUCCACAAAAUCAGGGUUUCUUUCUAGUGGCUCCAUUUGGAAGUAUCUGAUGGAGCUGAGUCAUUGGAUUUUUCUUGUAAUUGGGAGACUUGAAUAACUUUAGGUUGUUGUCUUAUCUAGUUUGAUGGACAAGAAUACUUUUAUCAUUGGGAUGUCAACCUAGGUCCAGAUGUUUAAUCGAUUUCAAUUUUUGAUGAGAUUAUACCACCAAACGUUAGUAUCUCAAAGCACUCUAACUAGUGCAGGACUAAAAACAUUCAUUUUAUCAAAUAUAAUUAAAAAUAUCUAAAUAAUUAAAAAUUGUCUUAUGUUUAAGGACUAAAAAAAUUCAUUUAAACAAGUAUCGUACUUAACAAUUCUGUGAAUAUUACAUGGAUAAUCAAUCUAAUGAUCAUAGCAUAUGAAAGAGUAAAGACCUAAGAUUAAAAAAGAAGAUUAAAUUGCGGCAAGGUUUUAGCUAUGUACCACCAAAAGCUGUUACUGGCCUUGCACUUCAGUGUGGAAUGUUGUGUCAUAUAAUUUGAGGAUUUGCCUUGUCAAUUAGUGGGAGAUGCGGAUACAUCAACAACAAUCUACCUGGAUCAUAUAUUAAUAUAGCAGCCAAAGGCAAAGAGCCAAUUCAACAGCAAAAAUGGAGUAGAGCCAAAGUCUAUCAAGCAUGAGUCCAAACACACAGAUCCCUGCUCUAUUGUUCUCCAUGUAUGUGACUGCAUUAUUUAAAAGAUAGCAAAUCAAGACAAAACACAAUUUAAUUGACUCAUCAGUUGAUAAGGACAAAUACUAAAUUCCCAUUUACCUAGAGCCUUCCCUCUUAGGAAUGAGACAGUAUGUAUUCAGAAUGGGAUAGCCUGACUUAGCCAUUUGAUGUAAUUCAACUCAUCCUCUGCAUCACCCGUUAAACCCAAAGGAGUUACAUCAUGUGGUGUUGUUGGGGUCUCUCCAUCAUUGCUGUGAUGGAUUGUGCUUCGUGUGCGAUCUUGGUUGACGUUCGCAAGAGUAUGAAAAGUCCUCUCAGCAGGGUGAUAGAAACUAUGUGCAACAUUAGUUGAACUCAAUUUAUUACUCUAUUUGCAGUAUCUAUACUUGAAAAUAUUAAACAAUCUCUGCAAAAGCACUGCGGAGCUAAGGAAACACGAAUUCGGAUCCUCUGCUGUCCUUGCAAUCUCUACAACAGCAAAAUGACAAGUGUAUAAAAGUUUUGACCAAUUUAACCUUUUGAGUCAAUCUUAACCAUUUAAUAUAAGAAUCGCCAAAAAAUUGCAGCUGAGAACUGCAGAGGAUCCAUGUUGAAGGAAACACACAUGCUCCUAAAUAAUAGCCAUGUGUCACAAGUAUAAGAGUACAAUAAUAAUUAGAUGAAUAAUAACAUUUUAUGAGCUAUAAUAACUCAUUUUAACUAUGACAAUCUUCAAUGUGUUUAUUCAUUAUAUCUAUGACACUGUAUCAUGUUAGUCUCUAUUUGAUAGAUGAAAGAAAAAGAAGCUUCACCGCAAGCCCUCCAGCCUUGAGGACAUUAACAUCAUGCAUGAGGUUUUGUAGCCAUAAUAAGCAGAAAACUGAACUGGAUUGCUGUCACCAAAAGCAGAGAAACCAAGAUAAAACAUAAAAAACGAUGGCUAAUGAUCUGCAGAUUACUUCUUACCCAGAAGAUGAACCCUUCCUCAAUUUUUCCGUAAACACCUGAAGCUAAAUCACCUAGCCUGAGAAUUUGCAUGUGACAGACGAGUUGAAAGAGGACACACACCAGGAAGGAAAUGUAGGCUCGAUAAAGCCAAGAAGCUACAAGGUGAUUAUGUCAACAAUGAAAAAGCCUAUGAUUAAGGUUUACAAGUUACAACUGUGUAGUCAAAUAUUCCACAAAUGACAUGCUGUUGAAUUUUAUUAGUAGUUGAUGACAUAAUAAAAAAUAUUCAAAUAAGCUGACAAUGUGAGUGUAUGUGAUUUGACCAAUGGAUGCUUUAGUUUACAAAUUAAAUUACCAUCAUAUCAUAUAGGAAAAUAAAACUAACCACUAUAUUCGAAUAAUUAUUCACAGUAAUUUUUCGUUAUAGUGUAUGCAAGACUAAUUAUGAGUGACACCUCUGAUUUCAGCGGCGCUUAACUAGUUAAACCUUAGAUUUAUGGUAUGUUUGUGAUGCAAUGCUACUUUAUUAUUUGACCUGAGUUACUAUAUAUACAUGGUGGUGCUAUGUGACAGUGUCAUGUUUGAUUUAAACUUCUAUCUGUAUUGAAGAAUGUAUUGCUGUACAGAUGAUGCAUAAUGCUGAUUUAGUUUAGUGCAGCUAGGAGCUCCUGUUUCGGAUCAUAUUUGCUGCGGUCAGUUUGAAAUCAUUGUGCAUUUUCAGACAAUGCAAAUCGGAUCACCUUACAUUUUAUCUGGUAAGCAAUCUUCAUUUUUCUGCAGUCUUGGUGUGUUAACCAAAGAACAAAAUGGAAGGUGCUGGAUCACUUGACUCCUUGCAAGGAGCCAUAUCAAAUGGCGCCAGUGUGCAUAUCUUUGUAAUACUUGCUAUCAGUUCACUUCAUCUUGUAGCAAAAGAUCAACCAAACCAAGCCGCAUACUAGACAUUAGGUUAGUUCUACUUCGUCUUUCUCUUGAUAUUUGUGAUAUUUUAGCUACUCUUCAUAAAUUGUUUUACACAUGUUAAAUACUUGGAGCACUAAUUGAAAUUCUGAAAGGCUGAGUUAUGAAUAUUUCCUAACUUUUUUAAUAAUUCAAACAUAUGUGAUGCAUAACUGUCAAUUUCUCAAGAUAUGUAAAAAUCUAUUUCUUCACUAGUUAAGUUUAUGGCCAAAGCAUGAGAGAUGACAUUGGUGAGCUUGGGAAAUAAAAAUAAAGGCUAAAUAUAUUUUUUCCACGAGCAAACCAAGCACCUCGAAUAGUUCGUCAUAUAGUCCUCCGGGAAAAGGUGCAAGCUAGGUUACUGAAGCUUCUUCCCCUCUCCACUCAAGAUCAGGUGGCUAAUGUUUUCACCAAAUCUCUAUUUCAACGGUUUUUGGUGACUUUUCUUACCAAAAUGAAUAUGAUCAUUUUUUGCCCUUCGGCUUGCAGAGUUAUGAGAGCCGCCAAUUUAGUUAGAAAGUUAAAGGCAGUUAGGAUUCUGUUAGUUAGUUAGUUAGUUUGGUGUAGUUAGUAAGCUAGCAUGGCAGCUAGUUCUGGUUGUGUCAUAACCACGAAGCUUAUGGAAAAAAGUAACUUGUGUAUAUAAUUCUGGUACUAACUACUAAGCAUAUCACUCAAAACAAUUGAUUCUCAUCUUUCUUCCCAAUGUUAUCACUCUUCAAUUCUCUCAACUCAGCUAAUUAUUUUGUCUUAUGCUUUCAAAAAAAAAUUACAAUUCGUAAAUCAUAAUCAGAACCACUAGAUCCAAAUGAAUUGGAGACUAAUACGAACAAGGUACAGAGGAGGAUCGCCGUGGUCCCUUUCUGUCUCUAAACAAAAACUGUUUUGUUAAGUAGCCAAAGAAAAAGAGCCGUUUGAAUAGCAAAAAUUGUCUGAAGGAGAUUCCUGCUCUGUUGUUCUCCAUGUAUGUAACUACAUUAAAAGCUAGUAACUCAGGACUAAAACAAUAUGAGUAAUGAUUUGAUUGAAUAAAACACCAGUAUUAAAUUGCCACUUACCUAGAGCCUGCCUUGUAUGGAAAGAGAUGGUAUGAGUAUAUACUGGUAGCAAUUUGGUGUUAUCGAACUCGUCAUCUUCAUCUCCCACCUCUUCAUCUGGUAAUCCCCAAUUAACAUUGGUAGCUAUUGCUUGGGCUGAAGCUGUAUCUGUUGUUUGUGUCUCACCAUUAAUGUUCUCAAACGAGUGUAUGGCGGCACAAAUAUGCCACUUGGCAGCAAGGCCUAUGACAGAUUGUGCUUUAUGUGUGAUCUUAGUUGCGCUUCGCAAGAGUAUGAGAAGUCCACUCAGCAGGGUGAAAGAGACUAUCUGCAACAUUGAAUUCAACCUGUUUGUUACUUUCUAUUUACACUGUCUAUGCCUGAAAAUAUUUAACAUUUUGAGCAAAAGGAUAGCAGACCAAAGGAAGCACCGAUACUUCGAAAUAAUAGUCAUGUGUCAUAAUUGUCUUGGACACAUUUGUAUCAGAUACUUCACAAAACUUCUAAUUUUAUUUUUCAACUUCAUGUUUUUUUUAACUUUUUAACCUUUAAACCAAUAAAGAUAAGAAUAUCAUAGCCAUUAUGCUUACAAUAACUCAUUCUAACUCUUAGAAUCUUAUUAUUGUUUUUGAAUUUAAUGUUUAUGUAUAAAUUACUAGUUGUAUUAUUGUCAUUUUCCAUCUUAUGAUUUUUAAAAAUUUUCUUAUGUCCUCUGUAUCAACCUAGAAUCUAUGAUCUCCGACAAGUAUCAUGUCUGUUCUUCAUUAGAAAACUAUUUCUUAAAUGGAAGAAAAGAAGCUUUUACCGCAAGCUCUCCAGCCUUGAGGACAUUAACAUCAGCGUGAGGUUUUGUGGCCAUAAGCAGAAAGCUGAACUGGCUUGCUGACACCAAAAGCAUAGAAGCCAAAAUGAAAGAUCGAAAACGAUGGCUGAUGAUCUGCAGAUUCCUUUUUAUUCUUUGGUGCUCCAAUAAAAUUGACUCCACCUCAGUUUUUCUCUGAAAAACUAUUGCAAGCUCAUCGAGUUUCAGUAUUUGGAGGGAGCAAAUGAGACGAAAGAGGACACACACCGCAAAGAAAAUGGAGGUUCGAUAAAGCCAAGACCACAACUCCAAUGCACAAAGAAUGAUGCUGCUCGCGUGCAUUUCACCAUAAUAUGGUAUUUGGGAUGCACCUGAGACAUACCACCAUAUCUUGUCAGCACAGGCAGCUAGAAAACAGGGAAGCCCCACACGUAAGAUAAGCUUCAUGGUUCCCUGCAUAAUAGAAACAAAAGUUUGUUUGUCAAACAAGACUAUGAUUUAUAUUUAGCUUUAUCAGUUUUCUAUUUACAUGAUUUUGAACAUAUAACCUCAUCAAACUUAUCCUAGCCUCUCAGGGCUAACUCAAUCAUGUAAACAAAUAAAAAAUUAAUCACAAUAUCUUAUAGAAAUAGGAAAUUAAAAAUAUGAGAGAUUUUUCUUAGUGGUAGAUAAUAUACUAUAGUUUAUAGAACUUCACCAACACACCAGAAAGAGAUGAAAAGGGACAGGAAACAAAAAAGAAAAUUAAUAAAAACACAAACCUGCAUUUGUUCUGCAUAUCCUCGUUGAAUCUUGAGGUUUUCAUUGCUUACUUUAUCAAGGAAGAGAAACUUGCUCAAACCGUAUUUACGAUCCCAUCGAGAGAGGCAGAUGAAAGAGAGAGUUGCAAACACAGUGAGAGAAAUCUGCACUGGUAUGUGGUAUGGUCGACGGUGAUUAGCAUCACAGGCGGUUCGACAAUGAAGUAGGUAUUGUGACAUAACCGGUACAAUGAAGGUCAAGGUGAAGAACACGGACCAAGAGAGAACAGAUUUGUAUAUGUUGGAUUGGACCACGAAAACCCAUCUCAGGUAUGAUCUGAAUUUCUUGCUCCUUUGCUCCAAAUCGUGCUGAGCAUCUUUUCCUGAUAUCUCAUGGCUUCCUUUUUCCAUACAACUUAAAAUGUGGUUGCUGGAGUAAGUAUCUGAUGCCUUAGCUUCAUCAGCUUUUUCUCUGCCCUUAAUUUGUGCAGUGGAUGGAACAUUUACAAUAUCUCCAUUGCCAAACUUUGGAACGUUACAAUGCUUCUGCCAAUAAAGAGUAAUUGGCCAAAGAUAUAUCAGAAAGAAUUUGAGAUCAAAACAGAGAAAUUUUGGGCUAUCGUUAGAGAAAUUCCAAUAAGCAGCUACAAUAAAAACAGAAUACAGAAAAGGCAACAUACAGUAACUAGGAAAUGAUUGCUAGCCACUAACAAAAACAGGAAAUGGCUAUUAGAUGAAAACUAAAUUAGUCUCCAAUGUUUAAUUUCAAAUUACUAAUGUUUUGUGUUGAGAAUAUAAUAUGAUAUGAGAGCUUACUGCCAUUAUUAGUAAGGAGUUUGUUAUGGUAAUGAAUCCAGAAGAUAGUCUGUGUGCCUCUGAGAGUAAAUGUUGAGAGUUUCUGCAAAAACAAAACCCUUUAUAGGUGAGACUGUGGUGCUAACUCAUAGAGGAAAGGUAAUUAAUUAAUAACUUGAAUGCCAAACAAAAUAUGAGUCUCUUACUUCAAGGUUAGCAUUGUCAAAAGGCAGGGAAAUAGGGAAUGUAAUGCCAAAAUAUGAGUCGUUUAUUCUUGAGUUUUGUGCUGUUCCUCCCAGCAACAUUCGCAGGUCUUAAUCUUAUUUCCACACUUUAGAUAUUCUUUCUAGUGGCUCUAUAUGCAAUUUUUUUAAAAUGUAUUGUUGAUUUGAAGUUAUAUUACAAGUUAUGAAUAGGUGUAAUUUAUCUUUCCGAGGUAAAAAAAAAUCUCAAAUUUUCAUCUUUAUCAAAUUUGAAUACAUUUAUAUUUUCCUAUUUUAAAAAUCACUAUUUAAGGGUAGUGUUAGUGAGUUUAACCAAGUUAUGAAAAACUCUAUUGUAAUGAUAAUAUGAGUUUAUAAACUAAUUAUGACAAAUUUAAAAGUUGAAAUAUCUAUUUACAAAAAGUAUAAAUCUAAAGUUGUUUUAUGAUUUUUUCCCAUCAAUUCAAGUCGUUCAACCCUUUAUAUGAUCCUGACAUUAUACAAGUUUAAUAAAGUCCUACUAUCCUUUACUAGAGAAACAUUUUCCCCAAGUAAUUGGAAAUCUAAGAACUGGUGAGAGGUCAAUAUUCUUUAUUCUAUUUUUUAGUUUUUAAUCCCGCCAUAUGUGAACUAAUCUCCAUAUAAAUUUCAAUAUAGGGCCUACUUUGUACUUAUAGCCACAAGACGUUUUAUACUCUUAGUAAAACACUGCUGGAUUUUUUAUAUUACCCACUAACACGAAUUUUAUGUCCGUUACAUGACAGAACAAGGAACUUAUGUGCAAUAUUUGGAAAGAAAAAAUCAAGCAGAUGUUAAAUAGCUGAUAUUUCUGAAUAAUUUAUUAGCUCACUAUUUCUAUUAUUUUUCUUGUGUUUUUUUAAGUUUUAUCAACGGGUGGUUGGUUCAAGUGGUACAUGUGAUUCCUCUUAAGCAAGAUCUCGGGUUUGAGUCUUGUAGAUAAAUGUACCCCUACCAUAAUGUGAAUGUUUCCGACUCAAACAUAAUUGCCUCCAAAUGAGGUGGUUGCAGGCUGUGGGAACCAAAGAAUUUACAACCAAUAACCACAAUCAGAAGCGCAAUUAAGCGAAUUUAAACAUCUAGUAGUUACUAAUUUUAGAGCUUUAAAAGAUGAAAUAAAAUUAGUUAGUAGCUCGUCAGACAAUUUUAUUUUAAAAAACUUAAUAAGUGUUUAAAUUAUUAUGUGGAGAUCGAAUAUUUUAAUUUACAUUUAAAUUACAAUUUAGUAUGAUAAGAUGUUAAAUUUCAGACUAUUUAGUUUAUUGAUAUUAAACAAAAAAAGAUGGGGAAAUUAAAUUUUCUUAGAUCAAAUCACGUGGAGAGGUUAAUUCUUAUAUGCAAUAUAUAACUAAAAUUUAUCAUAGUUUGAUUUAAGAAAGAUAGUCUUCCUUUUAAUAUAGUUAAUAGAGAAUAUACAAAUCAUGACAACCUUAUGUUUCAAUUACUUGAACCACCUGGUAAUGCAUUUUAUGUUCUCAAAAUAUAAUAGAUUGUGUCAAAAGAAUAGAAAGGACUAACUUGACAUAAACAUUUAUCUAAUAUGUCAAACAAAGGAAUUCUUGCAAUCAUUUAGAACCAUCCAUGGAAAGAAACAACACCUCACUGCUGAAGUUUUUGUGUUCUAAUGUGAAUACAACACAAAAGUUAGAAUAAUCUCUAAGAACUCGUGUGUAGAGUUUUACGUGCUGAGCUAUUAGAAAUUGUUGUUGCAAAGAACAAACAGGCAAGACCUAGAAUAAUAAUGUGUCGUGCAUAGCAUUUUUUUUUUUUUUUUUUUGAACUCGUGCAUAGCAUUUUUACUUGGAGAGUAUAUGUGUUGCAUAAAUUUUUUAAUUGAAAAGCUUCAUAUAGAUCAAUAGAUAUGAUCACUAUCAUGAACAUGAAUUACCAUUAGAAAAUAAUGGCUUCGUAACCAAAGGUUAACCCAAGCUAUGAAUUCAGAAAAGCAAAUUAAUAAAAUAUGUCACUGAAAAAUGCUAGACACUAUUUAAUUGGUCAAAAUCCAUAGAGGGUCCCUAAAUUAUAUGAGACUCAAACCCAAUUUAAUGGAACUUACAUGAACUUUAACUAAUUAAAGAAAGUAUUAAGAAGAGAGUGUCAAAAAGAGUAUUGGUAACGCUCAUCUUGAAAACAUGUAACUUGUCAUAGUUCUAAAUAUAACUUAAUGUAACAUUAAUUUAUCGUGCAUUUGAACAACUUAAUUAAGCAUUUAUGAUCAUAAGCUUUAGGAUCGCAUAAGCGCUUAUUCAUAAGCUAAUUUUAGAAGUUUAUUGAAAUAAGCUCUAAAUAAGUUAUAGGUAUGUAUAAGCGCUUAAUCAUAAGUUAAUCUGAACGGUUUAUGAAAAUAAGCUUAAAACAGUUUAUAGGGAAAUCAUUAGUUUACAUAAGCUCUCUCGAACACUUACAUAAAAUGUGUAUGUUAUAAGAUAAACUCAAAUAAACUCUUCUAAACGAGACCUUAGCGUUAGAGAGGGAUGAAAAGUUGAAAAUCCCAUUUAUUUGUACUGUGCAUGACAGGGAAGAGAGAUUUAAAAAGUGAACCUUUAACCAUUAUCAUCUCUACUCUUUUAGACAUUUAAUCAAACACAUAGUAUGCUUGAUUCUGAGACACAUACGCAUAACCAAUUCUAAUAGUUACCCACUCUCAUCUCUAAUUUUUCACACAUCUAUUCGAAUUUUACUCUCAAUCAGCACACAAGAACUUACCUUGAAUGCCAUGAGUGCAUUUAUCCUCAUCAAUGGAGAAGCAGCGAUUCAGUGCCAGAGUUUCCCACCUAGCCAAUCUUUAAGCAGUGAGACAGAGUCAGCAGCAUGAGGUUGAUCGAAGCUAUUACUUGAAUCUGCUGCAGUAUGAUUUGAAGCUCGAAAUUUAGGGAGAAUAGUGAAAUUUGUAAAUUUGGUAAAUGCUGACAUUUUAGCACUUUGAGAGAUUGGAUGAUGCUACAAGUUUGGGGGUGACGAGGGGAAGAGAACAAAAGCAAAGCACGCAGUGAUUGGCCAAAUGUGAGAGAAAGUCAAAAUUAUUUUGAAUAGAACGCUUGAAAUGAAUAGGAGGAGGCAAACGAGAAAAGUGUUCUUUAUAAGUAACCUAUAAUUUCAGAGGUAUACUUUGACCUAUGGUGAUGAAAUAAGCCAAAGUCACCCAAACUUUUUUCCAUAGGAAAAAAUCUCACAAUUUUAUAGUUGUUUUCUAUUUUUAAAUUUUAAAUUAAGAAUAAUUUACCAUAAAUGCCAAAUGCCAUGCUUUUUUGUGCUUUAACAAUUUUUUUUGGUGCUCAAAUGUCAUGCUACUCAAAGAGUACAGAAAAAAGUAGUGUAGCUUAACGUAGUGUCUCAUUCCCACUCUUUAGAGGAAUGAGGUUCAGAUUUGUGAAUUCCAAACAACCUCAUUGCCAGUCUUCUUAUUACUCCAUUUGACAGUAGAAGAGAGUCGCACCCUUUCCUCUAGCAUCUUUACUGCAUUCAUAACAUGUUUAGAAAUUUGUUGAAUUUUCAUGUUGAAGCAAAAAUAAUUAUGUGUGCAAUUGUAGCUAGGGAGUAGCUUUUGUGAGGCAUAUUUAAUUGAGGGGGUUCACCGCAUAUCCAAACACGCUAUAAAGCAAUAUGAUUGAGCUAAUGAUAAGAGUUUAGGUAGUUUGCAUCAGAAUAUAAGUUAAACUCUUACUACCACCACUAUACACUAAAAAAAACAUCUACUACAUUACUUAGCAAAGGAAGACUUUUGUUUUCAGUGAACUGAUGAACACAUCAUCAAACCAUUCAGUAAUUAUUACAACAACAUAGAGAGAAGGGGUAGAUCAAAGAGUCCUUCCUACCCGAGGCCUAUUGUGAUAAGAUUGAAUACUGCAGUACUCAUACUCAGCAUAAAUUCAUGGUAAAAACUCUAUACAUUGUAAUUUGUAAGUAAUAUUUAUGGUAUCCAUUGAUUCUAGGCCAUCCUUACCUGAUGUGAGGACUUGACUUGCUGAGUUGUAGAUGAUGCAGACACAUUUCCAACAGUCUCAGCAAUAUGUGGAGCAAACGGGAAUCAUUUACAUCUCAUAUAUCAUUACCAGAUCUCUCAGAUCCAAAUGAACUGAAUACUGGUAAACUAUUCAAAAUACGUACAUAUAACGCAUAUUGCACAAGGAAGGAGGAUCACAUCAAAGAAAUUCAUUUCUGUCUCUAAAUCCCCACUGUCUUGUUAAGGAGCCAAAGGCAAAGAGCCAAUUGAAUAGCAAAAAUGGAGUGGAGCCAUGUUCUGUCAAGCAUGAAGCCAAACACUGUGAUUCCUGCUCUAUUGUUCUCCAUGUAUGUCACUGCAUUAAAAGAUAGUAACUUAGGACAAAACUCAAUUUGACUCAUCAUUUGAUAAGGAAAUAUUAUUAAGAAAUUUCCAUUUACCUAGAGCCUGCCUCUUAUGGAACGAAAUGGUAUGUGCGUAAAUUGGCAGCAAUUUUGUGUUAUCCAACUCAUCCUCUUCAUCUCCUACCUCGUCAUCCGAUGAUCCCCAAUUAAUAUGGGGAGCCAUAGCUUGGGCUGAAGCUCUUUGUGUUGUUGGUGUCUCUCCAUCAAGGUUGUCAAAAGUGUUUAUGGUGGCACAUAUAUGCCACUUAGCAGCAAGGCUUGUAAUGGAUUGUGCUUUAUGUGUGAUCUUAUUUUGCUUUCAUAUAGCUUGGCCGCAUGUGGCGUUUGGAGGCAUCCAAGCUUUUUUCUCAGGGAAUGAUGUGCAAUGGCCUGACAAAGAAAGGUAGAUGGAAACUGUGAAAUUAGCAUUAACUAAUUUCUGAUUUUUUUAUGAAAUAUCUUGUUCCACUGAUAUUGAAAAUUUAAUUGAUUCUUGCUCUCUUGAUUAAGUAAUAUUGAUUUGAAGAGUGGAAAAACAAGCUCUUGAACAUAUUUUUGAGGUGCUGAGUUUGUCAACUGGUGGUCGCUUCAUACAGUUCCUCAUCAUUAGAAGGGGAAUUGAUUCUAGCUAGGAGAUACUACUCCGAGUAGCUUUUAUGGGAGCUGAAUUGAUUCUGAAAGUUUUGAACAUGAAUCCAAAUAUACUAUCACUUGAGUUCUUUACUUGAAAUUGUAAACUGAUGAGAUUUUACAAAUUGAUUACAGCGCUACAAUAAACAUAACAAAAUGUGAUAUCGGCUUACUGGCUUAAUAAUUGUACAUAUUAAAUAUUUGAUAGGAUAAGGGCUUAACAUGUUUAUAUCCUAUUAUACUCUUUAGUCUCUCAUUCAUUAUCAUAUUGUGCCCAUAAAAUGAGCUUUUAGAAUCUAAAAGCACUCUAACAACCUCAGGAAUAUGUAAAGCAGACGCUUAUGUUUUCAUUUCGUAGAUCAUAACAACAACUAUUAGACCCCAAUUAACUGAAGAGUAUUCAAUAUAUACAAUGAGCAGGGUAGCAUGACCAUAACUCAUAGCAGUUCCUUUCCGACUCUAUAUUCCGAUUGUCUUGUUAAGCAGCCAAAGGCAAAGAGCCAUUUCAACAGGAAAAAUGGAGUAAAGACAAGUUCUAUCAAGCAUGAAUCCAAACACUGAGAUUCCAGCUCUAUUGUUCUCCAUGUAUGUCACUGCAUUAAGAGGUAGUAAGUAAAUCAGGAUAAAUUUAAAAACAAUUUGACUAAUGAUUUGAUUAUAAUAACAGUAUUAUAAAUUCCAAUUUACCUAGAGCCUGCCUCUUUUGAAAUGAGAUGUCAUGUGUGUAAAUUGGCAGCAAUUUUGUGUUAUCCAACUCAUCCUCUUCAUCUCCUACCUCGUCAUCCGAUGAUCCCCAAUUAAUAUGGGGAGCCAUAGCUUGGGCUGAAGCUCUUUGUGUUGUUGGUGUCUCUCCAUCAAGGUUGUCAAAAGUGUUUAUGGUGGCACAUAUAUGCCACUUAGCAGCAAGGCUUGUAAUGGAUUGUGCUUUAUGUGUGAUCUUAGUUGCACUUCGCAAGAGUAUGAAAAGUCCACUCACCAAGGUGAUGGAGACUAACUGCAACAUUGGAAUCACCCUAUUACUUUCUACUAUUUGGAGUAUGACAAUAUCUAAUAGCAUGUUUGGAUCAAUUUCUCUUUCCUCAGAAUCAAUCCUGAUAAACAGAAGCUACUCACAUAACUUCUUCGUAGGAUUGAUUUUGAGUUUAAAAUCAAUCAUAGAAGGAUUUCCAAACAUACUAUAAGUAAUGCUUGAACAUAGUCAACAUUUUGAACAGAAGAAUAAAGAAAGAAGCUUUACCGCAAGCUCUCCAGCCUUGAGGAUAUCAACAUCAGCACCGGUUCUUGUAGCCAUGAGCAGAAAAAUGAGCUGGCUAGCUGUCACCAAAAGCAAAGAAGCCAAGAUGAAAGCUCGAAAACGAUGGCUGAUGACCCGAAGAUUCCUUCUUAUUUUUAGGUGUUCCAACAAGAUUGUGCCCACCUCAGUUUCUCUCUGGAAUACUGGAGCAAAGUCAUCUAGUCUGAGUAUUUGCAGGUAGCAGAUAAGUCGAAAGAGGACACAAACCAAGAAGAAAAUGGAGGUUCGGUAAAGCCAAGAACAUAGCUCCAAUGUGCCCAGAAUGAUGCUGCUCGCGUAUAUUUCACCAUAAUAUGGUAUUUGAGAUGUACCGGAGGCGUACCACCAUAUCUUGUAGGCACAUUCAGCUAUGAAACAUGGAAGCCCCCAACGCAAGAUGAGAUUCAUGGUUCCCUGCAUAAUAGAAACAGAGUUAUUCUGCUAAACAUGAGAAUAAGUUUGCUAUUUCAGAUAGAGUGGUAGGCUUUGACAGAGUCAAAUGUUAAUUGAUGAGACUUGAAAUUAUUAUCCAACAAAUGACUUUCUUACUCAAUGUCCUUUAAUAAGAGUCAAUGUUCUUUAACAAAAAGACAAUCCAACAAUGACCAAAUAGUUGCUACGAUUCUUAACAAUAAGAGAAAGGGGAAAACUCAUCAGAAUUGGCAAAAGGGCAUGAUUUUGUUGACUUAUAGACAGGACAAGUAAGGGAGCUUAGUUCUGCAUUCCUUAUACAGAAAUCUACUUGUCCUGCUUCUAUUUCUCAUCUCUUAAUCUUAGAAAUUGGGUUAGGCCAAAUACUGCCCCAAAAGUUAGUGCCAAAGGUGAGAAUUGCUCUACCUUUUAUAAGGACUUACUUGGUCAUAUCUCUAGUCCAUGUGCAUGGGACUUCUUAACACAAUCAGAACUAUAUGAAAUCCACAUCUCUUGCAUGUUGUUCUAAAUAUUAUAAAACAGAAAACUUACUAGUUACUACCUUAGAAUAGUAAGUGGAAAAAAGAGAAAGAGAUAUACAACACCACUGUUUGACUGUUUCCCUAUUUCUAUAGUAAGAAUUAUAUGUAAUUAAAACCAUGUUUCAUACUUUUCUUAUUCUUUUUGGACAUAGCUAUAAGUCCAUAACAAAGUAGCAUUGUUUCCAUCCCUAAUCUUCCCCUAUUUCCUGUUAAAUUCAUGAAAAAUAGCCAGAGAAGAAAAAAGGAGAAAGAUAAUGUGACUUGUUUCAACUCAUCAAGCUACAAAACAUUAACAAGACAAACCUUCAUCUGUUGUGCAUAUCCUCGCUGAAUCCUGAGGCUUUCAUCUCCAACUUUAUCCAGGAAGAGAAACUUGCUCAAACCAUACUUCCGAUCCCAGCUAGAAAGGCUGAUGAAGGAGAGGGUGGCGAACACGGUGAGCGAAAUCUGCACCGGAAUAUGGUACGGUCGACUAUGAUCAGCGUCGCAGGUGGAAGGACAAUAAAGCAGAAAGUGAGACAAAAUGGGGACAACAAAAGCCAAGGUGAAGAAAACAGAACAUGUGAAAACAGUUUUGCAAACGUUGGAUUGAUCAACGUAAACCCAUCUGAUGUAUGAUCUAAUCUUCCUCAAUUCAGCUUCAUCGUUGAGCAAGUAGCUAGCGUUCUCCUCCUUGUUCACUUGCAGGAGAAUCCCUCUGUCAUCUUCCAUAGCCUUUGAAUUCUCCUCUGUUCGCCAGAAUUUGAGAUGAACAACACAUAUAAAUUAAUGUUGAAAUUUUGAAGGUUGAGAUUUAUGGAGGUCACGAUUUGAAUAACGAAAACCCGUUUCACGGACAGACAGCUUGCAUUACAUUAGCAUCAUGUGUCAAUGUUAAGCAUUUAGUUUUUAAUCUCUAUGAUUGAUUGUCAUGGUGGUAUUUUAUUUAAUCUACGGUGUUAAUCACCAUCCUCCACGCCCACAAGCUCCUAUCCACCCAAAUGGGCUCCACAUGGGUUCGCCAAUUCAAAGCAAUUGUGGCUAAACAAAGUUAGAGUUCAUAAUAUAUACCCUUAAUUCACAAGAAUGUAUGUAUGUAUGUCAUUGAAGCUAUUAUUAUUAUUGAUUGAAAUGACUAAAACGAAAAGAGACCACGAAUAAAUAAUAUUGUUUAAAUUUGUACCAUAAAGAAUAAGAUAACAAUUAUUAAUCGUAUAAUGUUACUAAAAGUCUAUAAUACUAUUAUUCAGUUUUACUAAGAUUAUGAGCAGAUAUUAAAUUUUACUUAAAAUAAAGAAGAAUGUAAUAGACAGAGAAAUUAUAAGUGAGAUAAAAUUUAUUAAAUAAAUGUAUACUUAGAAAAAAUUAUCUCGAUUUCAUAAAACAACCAGCAACAUUUAAAAAAAAUGCUUAAACAAUAAUUUUUGUGAAAUAAAUGGAGUAAUAUGCUACUCCCUCCGUUCCAAUUUGUUUGUUGUUUUAGCAUUUGCACACAGUUUAAGAGCUAAUCAUUAGAUCCACACUCACACUACUAAUUUCACACUACAAGAGAGAAACUUGACCAGAAUAAUGGCUUACAUUUUCGUAAAUAGGAAUAAUAAUUAAUAGAGAUAGUGGGGAUAGUUAUAAAUUGGAACGGAGGGAGUAAUAAAUAUGUGUUGGAGGUGAAAUUAAGCUCAUGAAUUAAAGAGUAAUAAUUAUGUUUGAUGUAGCAUGAUUUUUUGGUUUGAAAGAUGAUGAUAUAAUUGGUUUGUACUUUGUAGGGAGCAGAACAGUAUUAUUGGCGCGAAAAGCAGUGAAAUGUAAAUUGGACAGUUGGAGGUUUGCGCGGAUUUGGUCGUUUGAUUAGGAGCAAUGGACAACUCAGAGUCACAGACAGGUGGUGUGUAUUUUGGCCUUUGAAUAUGAGACACUUGCAUGCAUCACCGCUCACGCUCAGCCACACCAAAACCAUUCUAUUCUAUUUCUACCACUUGUUUCUGCUUACCUGGGCAGGUGAUGUUGAUUGCUUGAUUUUUACGCAAACAAAAGUCGUUUAGUUGUUCACGGAAUCCCUUCAUCAAUGCCGAGUGUGAUUAAUAAGGUUCACUUACUAUAUUUGCCAAAGGUAAUUAAUACUAGUAUUUAAUAAGGUGCUUCAUUGUAUUUUAUCUUUUAGUUGGCACUUUGUAACACCUCUAGUUUUUUUUAACUAAUCCAACCUCUCUAAUUUUAAAGUUAGGUAAAUUUGAUCCAUGUCUCAAUUUUUUAGUGUAUAAAAUUAUUAAAUCUUCAUUUUUUUAUUAUUUUAUGAUUUUUGAUGAAUUGAUAUAUUAAUACAUAAAUACAACAUUCAAAAAUUAAAAGUAAAAAAAAAAGAUAAAUUUAAAGAAAAAGAGUUAGAAAAUAGAGAUAUUUAGUUUUCGAAAAUAGUUUAAUAUUAUGAUUAGUGAGUUUUCGUGAGAAUAAUGUUUGGAAUGACUAGAUUAAUUCAAUUUGUAAGGAUUUUUCUUAUAAAAAUGAGAAUUGGAGAGUUUCAAGUAGAAUGAUAAAUCUGUUUGAAAGAAUUAGGGGACUAAAAUCACAUAUGAUCUAAAUUUAGUGAACAAAAACUGUAAUUAAAUCAUAUGUUCACGGAAAUAAAAAAUAUAACACUAGCAAGUAGGUCAGACAAAAAUACACUAUGAUCAAUGAACAUGUAUUUGCGAGAGGGGGAUCCCUUUAUAUAGUCAGGAACCUCUUGUAUGGUAGUAAUAAAAUGAUCAAUUACAAUUAUGUAGGAAGAAAAUCAAGUGAUUACAAUUAUUUGGGGAGGGAGAAUUGAGCUACCAGACCUAAUUGGGAAUGUAGGUCGAUCGACCAUAUUCAUAUUGACAAUUAGAUAUACAGGAGGCUUACUAAUGAGAUGAGGAGGAAGAACUUGGACAUUCUUCCCUAUUCAGCUUGACAACGGCGUGUAGGUGGAUGACCUGUGCGACUAAGAAUUUGGUUAGCAUGCUAAAAUCUCGGCAUAAGUCAUAACAUUAGUAAAUUGGUCGAUUCAACUCCUUAACAUUCUAACAUACUCACUGCUUAACAAACACCUUUAUCUCUUUAACAUUCUAACAAGUAACAUACUCACUCGUUGGAUAUCUUCACAAUGUAAAUAUAUAUGAAUCAUUUUUCAUUUGUGGAUCUUGCACUUUGUCUUUUUAUUCCACAGUCAAUAAUUUUGUUAUCUUUAAUUUAUUUAUGAGAGGUUAUAGAUAGAGUGUAUAAUAUAAAAAUAAAAUUUAUAUAUAGACGCCUUAGCAAUUAUUGACAUAUGCAUUUAGCAACAAUUUUUCAUCAGAGCUAUACGCAGAAAUUUAAAAAAAAAAAAAUUGUUUAGUGAGGUCUUAAACUUAUGAGAAAUAAUUUUGUUAAUUUUGUGGUUGUUUGUGCAACGCUCUGAAGUUGCCAGAGAAGGCUUUUACAAAUUGUAGUUAAAAAACCAUCAUUCGACUCUCACAAUCCUCGUAUGUCAAUUGGUGGUCGAAACCCUCCUAUAUUCAAUUAUCAUUGACAAAUACCUAAUAAUUUAUUUAUUUUCAAGUUAGGUCUUGAAAUAGAAAGAUAUUUUCACUUUUCUUUACUCUCGCAAUUCUGAUCAAGUUUCAAAUGUCUUGUAAAAUGCGCUUUCUAAAAUUUGAAUGAAUAUACUUAAAUAAUUCUCCAAAUAAUAUUUUUUUAAUAAUUGAAGGUUAGAAAUUAAUCAAUAUAAAAUUAAAAUCGAUCAAAUGUGCCUUUUUAAAAUGUGCAAAAGGUAUAAAAUGUAUGCUAUAAUAAAAAAAUUCCUAUUAAAAUAUGAGAAAUGAAUGAAUUUGAAAAAUAUAAAUAUCAGCAUCUCCAUAUGCUCCAAACACAAAUAUCUUGUAAUAGUAUAUUUGUCCAAUCCACCACCACCAACUCACAGCAUAUGCCGACGGCUGAAUCCUCCAAGUCGCCGGAAAAUGCCGUAAACGCCGACUACGACUUCCACCAAACGACAAACAAAUCAUGGAGAUUCCACUAGCUUUUUCCGUCUUCGCACUUUCCAUUUCUUCAAUUUCUUAAACACUUUCCAGUUUCCAUUCUUCAUCUCCACAACCUACCACCCACCACCAUGGCGGCGAUUUUCUCUUCUUCAAUCUUCUCAACUUCAUCUCUCAACAAAUCGCCAUCUUCACACUACCCUCACAGACACCACAAUUUCAGCCCCCUUUCACUUCGUUCACCACUUUCCAGGUUCGUAAUCUUCAACCUUCUUCUCUCCUCUGUUACUGUUUGUUAUUGUUAUCAUUUCCGUUCUCUGAAAUCUGAACUGGAGCUUCAUCUUGUUCAGGGUACGUGCAACUGUUGUGAAAGACACAGAGGGUAAAGUGGUUGUGGAGAAGACUUUUCCCUCCAAGAUCCCUCUGCAAACUGGUGCUGAGGAGAACGUGAGUGAUAGUGAUAGUUCACCCCCCACUGCUUUUGAGUUGGGGGUUAUCAAGGUUGAACAAUCAAUCAAUAUCUUCCUCACGGUAAUGCUUUUCUUCUUUGUUUAUCUCAACAUGCUGGUGUUUUGGCUCAAAUUUCGUUGUUAUAUUGUUAAUUUGUUAUUUAUUGUUCAUAUUCAGCUAUUCAAUUCACUUGUUAUGAGAGAUAUACAUAUUUUUGGGGCAGGGGAGUAUUGGUUUGAAGUUGGUCUAACAUUGAGAUAUUGAUCACUUAAAAAUGUUGGAAAAUAUUUUUCAGUUGCCCAAUUUUCAGUUAGUCGUGAGUUGAGAAAAUGGCUAAUAGAGAAACAAUUUACAUACAUAUGAGCCUCGUUUUGAACUUAUUUGAGUUUAUCUUAUGGAAAAAGCACUUAUGCAAGUGUUUGAGAGAGUUUAUUUAAAUAGCUUAUGACCUACCUAUAAGCUGUUUUGAGCUUAAUUUCGUGAGUUGUUUAAAUUAGCUUAUGAAUAAGAAGUUAUGCUUACCUAUGUCCUAUUUUGAUUUUCAACUUAUUAUGCAAUAUGAUUGACAUAUCAUACUAUUAUAGUAUGGUUUCAGCUAAAAAUUUGAUCAAGGGGGGCUUUCUCAUUUUUUAUCUUAUAAUUGACUGACCAUUCUCUCAUUUUUUAGCUGUACGUUAUAGUCUUGAAUUAACCAUUCUGCUUUUGGGGAUUGUUAUUCAUAAAAUAAAGGUUCUCAUUUUUGUUGUUUUAUUACUUAUUUUUCGGCUUCACUGAUGAUUUCAGGAUUCUGUGAUAAAGAUACUAGAUGCUUUAUACCGUGACAGAAAUUAUGCAAGGUUUUUUGUGCUGGAAACUAUUGCGAGAGUUCCUUACUUUGGUAAGUGAUAUUUUUCAAAUAAUAUGUAUGGCAUUGAAAUCUAAUCAGUGCUAUCCUUACUGCUACUUAUUAAACAAUUUUUGUUUUUAAAGAAUAGACCGGUAUAUCAGCUGAGUUUUCCUAUAACAUUCAUCAUAAUGGAGGGAACUACUAUUCUCUAGCUGUACUUUAGUGAAAAUUACUGAUCUACUUUAGCAUCAUACUCAAUUAUGUAUUUAUGAUUUGUAAAUAUAGGGAGUCAGUGUGCAUUGUGAUUGAACUUUUCAUUAUUGAUUUUUGUGUAUAUGUCAGCCUUUAUGUCAGUUCUCCACAUGUAUGAGAGUUUUGGCUGGUGGAGACGGGCAGAUUAUCUGAAAGUGCACUUUGCUGAGAGCUGGAAUGAAAUGCAUCAUUUGCUCAUUAUGGAAGUAAGAUAUUUAUCAACUUCUUUUCAUUCAAUAAAACUGCAAUCUUUCUGGUUAAUCCUCAAUAGAUGCCACUCCAAGUCUACCCUUGAGUUCAGUUUUUGAAGGAUCAGUAGUUGAAUAUAUUAGGGUAGGACUAAAGGGUCGAAUCAGAAGAUCUUUACUAAAAGCAGGAGAAAAUGACCCCUGACAAUAUCUAUGCUCAUAUGUGUAGUUUAAGGGGUAUGUGCCACAUUUUCUAAAUGACACAUAAAAAAUUUCUAUUUUAGUUUAAGGGAAUUUUAGUUACAGUUUAAGCAUUCAUAGAAAUGACACAACUUCUAAAAUAUUUCGUGUUCUUUUAUUUGCUUUGGAGAAGCAUUCACAGAAAUGAUACAGAUAACUGUUUUAUGGAAGAUUUUUUUUCCUGCACCAACCAUGUAAAAUGUUUCUCUGGAAAAGUUUUUACUCUGAACAUUAGAAAAUAUUUUCUGGAAAAAUAUUCUCCAUAAAAUAGAUGGACCCUUACAUAAAAAAGAGAACAUAUACUUCUGGCGGGAGUUUUUGCAAGUUUUGUAGUAUACUAGUAUAUGAUCACAUAGAUGUUGACUCUGUUAUUGAACACUUUCGUUUAUGCAAUAAGCGUGGACCUCUGAUUGCAGGAACUUGGGGGGAAUGCUUGGUGGUUUGACCGCUUUCUCGCUCAACAUAUUGCAAUAUUUUAUUAUUUUAUGACAGCUCUAAUGUAUACGAUAAGCCCAAGAAUGGCAUGUAAGUAUUAAGUGCUUUCACUUUUGUUUCAUUACAAUUCCCACUACAUCUGUCAGUUUAUUUUUUGGAUUAUUAUGGAAUUUUAGUGAAGUGAUUGUAUACAUAUGAUGAUGGAGUUUGAAGACACCAAACGAAAAAUUGGCACUUGUUUGAUUGAAAAGAUAGAAGUUGACUGCACUUAUUUGCGUAGUUAUAUCUGUGGUGCUGGUAAACCAGAAGUAUCCAAGAUGUCCACAUGGUGUUCUUCUUAGCCUAAUUGAUAAAAUGAAAAUGAAGAAACAAUGAAUAUUAAACUGCAUAUCUGAACUUAAAACAACUAAAAUGAUGCAGCCGAUUAGCACGAGUUAACAAGAAUGAACAAACUGACUAGUUUGCUUUUAGUAAAAUUAUCUACAUUAAACAACCAUGUUUGACUGAAUCACACAUUGCUACAUUCUAUACCUGUCUGCUUGGUUAUUCAAUUGCUGAUUUUAUGUGUAUGGUUUGUUGCUAGUGCAGAUCACUUUUCUGAAUGUGUAGAGAAUCAUGCAUUUGAAACUUAUGACAAGUUUAUCAAGGACCAAGGAGGUAUUUUGGAGGUUUCUUCUCUUUUUUGUGUUAUCUACAUUUUAAUUGCAUUUGUUAAUAGUUUAUGCUGUUAGUUGUACUUGUAUGCUUUCAUAACUGGGGCAGAAACCACUGGAUUAUAAUUAUCUUGCUCAUGCGUCAUGAUUUGUUUGAUGCGAAAGUUAAUUAAGAUAAAAUGAACUAUUAUUAGGAUGUAAUAUGGUUUUAAAUGAGAAAGCUGACGUAUGUUAUCUUAUCUGUCUUGAAUUAACUUGUUCAGGAAAUGAAUGACCUUAGUUUUUUCAUAUAAACUGAAAAGAAAAGAAUGGUCCUGCGUUGGUUAUUUAAUGAAUAAUAUAUUUAUUUCAUUUGAUAAAGGUUCCAAAUUCCUCUUUGUGAAUCUUUUGUUAUGCUGUUUGUUUCAUGUGAUUCAAUAACUCUUAGUCUCUUACAUAGUUUGAUAAAAUUUUUGCAGAGGAAUUGAAAAAGUUGCCGGCACCUGAGGUUGCUGUGAAUUAUUAUACAGGAGGUGACUUGUAUUUAUUUGGUAAGCUUUUCAUUCUUAUGAAUAUGACCUAAGGUUGUUUACUGGUGAAAAAAACUGGAAUUUUACACUUGUGUGAUUUUCCUCAGAUGAGUUUCAAACUUCCAGAGUUCCAAAUACUAGAAGGCCUAAGAUAGGUAUGUCUCGAAACCUGGUCCACCAUUCAUUGCUACGCUGAAUCUGUUGUGUAGUUUCUCAUUUCAAAAAUUGAUUCUGAUGAAAGAAAAAUUGAUCCAAACAUGCUAUUAUUUAUCAUUAUGCACAUUGUUUAUCAAUUGCGUGGUAAAUUGGUCAUGUCCUAAAGUGGAAAUAUUGUACUCAAAACUCCUUUACCCUUAUAAUUUUAUUAUGAUUUCAGGUUAGGUGAUUGUCUAAGGAACAAACUAAAUACUGCAAUUGAUUGCCUUGUACUUAUUCAUGCAGUGAAAUUUCUCAUAUUGAUGAUUAACGACAUUUUUAUCUCCCCUGUAGAGAAUCUGUACGACGUAUUUGUAAAUGUCCGAGAUGACGAAGCUGAACAUUGUAAGACAAUGAAGGCUUGUCAAACCCAUGGGAACCUCCGGUCACCUCAUUCAUAUGCAGAGGAUGAUGAAGACACAGUGUGUCCUCUUGAAGCAGAUUGUGAAGGAAUAGUAGACUGUAUAAAGAAAUCUGUCACUUCUAGUCCAGCUAAGGUGAAGUAAGAUACGGUUUAAUACAGAAUGCAUUCAUUUAAAAGAAUAAGGUUCGAGGCAUGAACAAUGAUUAUAGUUAGUGAAUAGAUGAAAAUUGUAUAAGCUUCUUCUAUAGUGAUUCUUUCUUUGAAAUGAGCGAGCAACCGCGACUUCUAAAUUUCAAUUGAUCAAGGUCAUAUAUGUACUUCAUAUUAAAUCAUAGUGAUACACAUUUAUUUACAAAUAUGUAAUGGGUCCUUUGCUAAAGAGCAUCGAAAGUAAUAUUGUAUUUUAAGUUAAGAGACAGGCUGGUUUAAUAUGCAAAAAAACCAAUUUUUUGUAAGGCUUCUUCUGUCUACCCUGUUUGAGUUUAGGUUUCCCUGUUUGAUUUAUGAUUUUGUUCUUCAUUUAAUGGAAACGUGUAAAAAGAGUAGAGUCAAUUAAUUUGUUGAAAUCCAUAUGACCAAUGUACAAAACCAACAAAGAAAUCAAAGGGACCAUAAUGUAAGAGAGAGAUCAUUGAAGGCAAGAGCUCAGAAAAUUAAGUGAAUAUAUCAUAUAUGCAUACCCUGCAUCUGAAUCAGACAGCUAUGAAGUAGAUACAUCUCUUCCUAUGCCUAAAUCCAAAUGUAACAAUUAACCCUGUCAAAAAAAAUGUAUAACAAUUAACAACAUUUGCUGGUGUUCUCAACUGAGAUGCACAUUUGUCUUAUCUCCUUCUAAACCGCAAUUUUGGUGGUGCAUACAAUGCGAUGCAAAUUAUAGCAUGUUUGUUCACACUGCUCUAGAGCCAUUUGUGAUCAAAAGCUACAAGUCUUAAUUUCUAAGUAAAUGUGUCUUGUAUUAUGUGCAAAUUGUAAAAUCAAACCUCCACUUAUUUCAUUGUUGAGUUAUAUCACUUAAUUGAUCCUUGUUUCAUAAGACAGUAGGAGCAGGCCAGGGAAGAAUAUGGUUUGGAUAGAAAAGUGUUGUUGCAGUCCCCAGCUCCAAUAACUUCAGAUGAUUAUAAAGAAUUAAUGAGUGGACAAUGCCACUAAUUAAGUAUAAGCAGAUAAGCUACAUUUUCCAUUCAUCUUAAAUAAUAAUCAUAGGAAACACAGCGGGGAGCUCUUUUAUUUUAGAGUAAAAUACACUCGUUUUUUCUUUUAUAUCUUAUAUAUCUAUCCCAUAUCUUUUAUCUCUAUCUUCAAUCUUCUAAUUCUCUUUCCCAUCUUCUAUUUUUAUAUCACUAUCUUCUAUUCUUAUUUCUCUAUCUUUUCUCUCUUUUAUUUUAUUUUGCUAUCUUUUUUAUCUUCUUUCCCUUCUUUAUUAUUCUUAUUAUUAUUAUUACUAGAUUUUCUUUUUACUAACUCUUUUUUUCUUUUAUUUUUGCUGGUUUCGUUCAAUUUUUUUUUCUUACCAGAUUCUUUUUUUUUCUUUUGUUACUAACAUUUUUUUUUUGUCUUUCACUCAUUAAUUGUUGUUUAAUGAUUUUUAAAUAAUUAAUUCUUUAAAAGGAACUUANNNNNNNNNNNNNNNNNNNNNNNNNNNNNNNNNNNNNNNNNNNNNNNNNNNNNNNNNNNNNNNNNNNNNNNNNNNNNNNNNNNNNNNNNNNNNNNNNNNNNNNNNNNNNNNNNNNNNNNNNNNNNNNNNNNNNNNNNNNNNNNNNNNNNNNNNNNNNNNNNNNNNNNNNNNNNNNNNNNNNNNNNNNNNNNNNNNNNNNNNNNNNNNNNNNNNNNNNNNNNNNNNNNNNNNNNNNNNNNNNNNNNNNNNNNNNNNNNNNNNNNNNNNNNNNNNNNNNNNNNNNNNNNNNNNNNNNNNNNNNNNNNNNNNNNNNNNNNNNNNNNNNNNNNNNNNNNNNNNNNNNNNNNNNNNNNNNNNNNNNNNNNNNNNNNNNNNNNNNNNNNNNNNNNNNNNNNNNNNNNNNNNNNNNNNNNNNNNNNNNNNNNNNNNNNNNNNNNNNNNNNNNNNNNNNNNNNNNNNNNNNNNNNNNNNNNNNNNNNNNNNNNNNNNAUUUUGUUGUCAUUGUUAUGUUUAUCUCAUUUCAAUUUCAAUAUAAUGCAUUCCUUAAAAACUUGAUUCUUAUUACUAUUCAAAUGUUGACAUUGUGAGGUCUAUACAACCUCAUCAAAUUAAUAUAUUUAUUGUGGUCCAUUCAUCUACAUGUUUGUAACAUAUGUUCGGUUUCAUAUCUGUUCUACUUACUAAAAAGAGCCUAAAUUAAGUCAAAACAUAUUUCUACUGAUUCAUCUUUACAAUAAAUUUAAUCGCCGUGCAACGCACGGGUAAAGAACACUAGUGACAUUUCAAGAUGCACUCUCAUCCCACCCCCCUCACUGGCUGACAAGUGUCACAGCCACAACAAUUCUCACAAAUUUAUUAAAUGCAUUGAUUUCCCUAUAAUUUGGUUUGGUUGUCCCCCAUUAAAUGUGAUUUUCAAAAUCAUUUCCUAUAAAUCAACCUUCUUAUUGCUGAUUUCAUCACAUAUUCAAAAUGUGUUUUUGCCAUCCUUUUUCUGCAAGUACGAAGUUUCAACCUUCUCAUAUCAAAAGGUAUUUUUUCGCACUUUCUAUUCAAUUGACCUGUUACAUCUGAUUUGAUUCCGUUAACUACACUGAGUUGUUGUCCUUUUUAAUUGUAGUUCAUGAUUGCCAACAAAAUGUAUUGAAAGUUGUUAAGGAGGAGAAAUAAGCUUUCCGUUCAUGGUUCUCAUAUUUGUUAUCCAAGUAAUACAAGAAUAAAGAUUGAUUAUAAAUCAUCUAUCUUUUGUUACUGCUUUUUACAUUUUAAGUUAGUUUUGACAUUUAUUUUUGUUUUNNNNNNNNNNNNNNNNNNNNNNNNNNNNNNNNNNNNNNNNNNNNNNNNNNNNNNNNNNNNNNNNNNNNNNNNNNNNNNNNNNNNNNNNNNNNNNNNNNNNNNNNNNNNNNNNNNNNNNNNNNNNNNNNNNNNNNNNNNNNNNNNNNNNNNNNNNNNNNNNNNNNNNNNNNNNNNNNNNNNNNNNNNNNNNNNNNNNNNNNNNNNNNNNNNNNNNNNNNNNNNNNNNNNNNNNNNNNNNNNNNNNNNNNNNNNNNNNNNNNNNNNNNNNNNNNNNNNNNNNNNNNNNNNNNNNNNNNNNNNNNNNNNNNNNNNNNNNNNNNNNNNNNNNNNNNNNNNNNNNNNNNNNNNNNNNNNNNNNNNNNNNNNNNNNNNNNNNNNNNNNNNNNNNNNNNNNNNNNNNNNNNNNNNNNNNNNNNNNNNNNNNNNNNNNNNNNNNNNNNNNNNNNNNNNNNNNNNNNNNNNNNNNNNNNNNNNNNNNNNNNNNNNNNNNNNNNNNNNNNNNNNNNNNNNNNNNNNNNNNNNNNNNNNNNNNNNNNNNNNNNNNNNNNNNNNNNNNNNNNNNNNNNNNNNNNNNNNNNNNNNNNNNNNNNNNNNNNNNNNNNNNNNNNNNNNNNNNNNNNNNNNNNNNNNNNNNNNNNNNNNNNNNNNNNNNNNNNNNNNNNNNNNNNNNNNNNNNNNNNNNNNNNNNNNNNNNNNNNNNNNNNNNNNNNNNNNNNNNNNNNNNNNNNNNNNNNNNNNNNNNNNNNNNNNNNNNNNNNNNNNNNNNNNNNNNNNNNNNNNNNNNNNNNNNNNNNNNNNNNNNNNNNNNNNNNNNNNNNNNNNNNNNNNNNNNNNNNNNNNNNNNNNNNNNNNNNNNNNNNNNNNNNNNNNNNNNNNNNNNNNNNNNNNNNNNNNNNNNNNNNNNNNNNNNNNNNNNNNNNNNNNNNNNNNNNNNNNNNNNNNNNNNNNNNNNNNNNNNNNNNNNNNNNNNNNNNNNNNNNNNNNNNNNNNNNNNNNNNNNUUAAUAGGAAAGCGGAAAGCUCGCACUUAGUAUCAACACAUGCGCUGCGAUGCACACAACAAGUUCAUCGCUCGCGAGGUCCGCAGUCAAUGUUGAAUGUCAGCACAUACCAUGCUGCACCUUCCCGCGGGGAACGAUAAUACCCUGUUCCAACUAUCGACAAUAGAAGUAAUCGUCUCGCCGCUUGUGGACUUGUGGACUUGCCCGCUCGGAUUGCUCGUCAAGUCAGUGGACUGGGUAACCAAAAUGCUAGUUUCCUUUUGCUCACGCCAUGUUGGCGAUAUAGUUUACUUCUCUUUUCUCAAGCCAUGUUGGCAGUGCAGAUUCCGGUGUACUGUAAGACAUAUGUAAAAGCAUUUAAAAGACACACUUAGCUCUCAUACCUCGAGCUCGGUGUCUUGUGGACUAGUGGACUGGGCGAGCCCCUAGAGGGGCAACGCCCAGCAUGUAUCUCGCCCUGAGGCGGGGCCCUGGCCUUCAGAUGGGCCUUGACCUCGGAGGCCCAAUUGGCCCAAUAGGUAGUACCCAAGCUCUAUAAAUAGGAGGUAGUUAUCAAGUAUAGGGGACUUUUGGCUCAUUUGAUGAAAUAACACUUGAAAUUCAGCACUCUCUCUCACUCUCAUUCUCUCUUGGCACAAUCCCUCUACCUCUAGGUACUAUGCCUCUCUUCAAUGUUCAUUCCCAGAACAGAAACUAUACCUCAUUCAUUUAUUCUAGUAGACCAAGCACCUCACGUAAUAAUCAUCUGUUAUUUGUUGCAUUUCGCAUUUUAUUUGCUAAGAUAAUAUUUCAUGUUGCAAGUGCAACCAAUCUAUGAAGCUAAUAAUAUACUAAUUGAGAAGGUGACUAGAACAAUCAUAAAUUUGUUUUUGGGCUUUUCAUUGGAAUAAAUAUCAUCUAAUUAAUCAUGAAAUUUUGUUAGUACAAUUAAUCAUGAAAAUAAGUUAAAAGAAAAAUAAAAGUAUUUGUUUAGUCUAAAUUUAUAUUUGUAAACUUAAAUGUUAUUGAUAUUCCUAUACAACAUUGUGAAAAUAUUUAAUUGUAAAUAUCUUAAACUUCUUGAAAUAAAAAGUAAUAAACGGAAUUUUUUAAUUUUAUUAUUAUUUAAAUAUUUAAAUUUAUUAGUUUGAAAUUAAAGAGAAUAUUCUGUUAGCAUCUUUUAACAUGUAGUUAACUUGUUAGAUUGAGUGGGAUGAAGUGUAGAUUUUGGUUAAGAAUGGGGCUGGGUUCAUUUUGGCAAACCUCAAAGGAGGGGAGUGUAUUUUACUCUUUAUUUUAACUAUUGUUUGCAUCAGAAAAAAACUGAAUGCCACUUUUUGCAAUUUCAAGACCUUUUUGAACUCAUUUUAAAACAUCAAUUUUUUUUUAUGUUAUCCUAAUAUGUCAUUAGUUUUAGAUGCUGUAUUGAUAAACCACUCAUUUUGAAAUUCCCCAUAUAGUUUUUAUAACAAUAACGAUUUUUGGAGCCCACUAGAGCGGACCACCACUUUAGAAUACUUUUAUAACGUUUUUUUUUUACAAAAUUGAAAGUUAGAUUUAUUUUUUUCUACUUUCCAUUUUGUGGCAAUAAAAAACCAUUAUAAAAGUGUGGUGUCAAAAAGUCACUACUAUUUAAUGGUUUACCUAUUUCCUCUGUUUUUAUAAACCUAAGUGAACAGUAACAUCAAACUGCAUUAGUUACUUCAUUAAUCAGCUACAUUCCAAUUUAAAUUUGCUUAUAGUUUAUGGAAGAUUCUCAUUAAGAUAAGUGUUUGUCUUUUAAUAAUAAAUCAUUUUAAAGUUUGUAAAGAAGUAAAACGAAUUUUUUUCCUUUUGUAAAAAAAAAAAAAACAAAUGAGCUUACCGCUGAGUGUGAGGUGGGAGAUAAUACAACUGAUCAACGAAAAAUAUGAAGAGAUUUCAAAUAUUUGGGUUUGUUAUAUUUAACAAGUUGGAUAGAAGUUAAUAAUUUUUUUGGGUAUUUCGCUAUUUAUCUUUUUUUUCCAUGAAUAAAAGUUUCCAUCACGGGUCAGGGUAUAUCUUUGAGACCAUAUGUCACUUAUAAAGGUACUUAUAGAUUGUACAUUAACAAAACUUUACAUCAAUUGUGAAAAUUAAACACAAUUUUCAAUGAGGUAGUGAUCUAUCAAGUGUGUUAAUAUUUCGCUACUUUUCCUACCGGUUGGCAUGUAGGAAAAGUACAUGAGAAGGGUUGGCCUCAUGCUUCCUUAAUUAACAGUAAGAAUAAUGAUUUUUCUUCUAUUUGUGAAAAAUAAAUGUUAUUUACAUGACUUAUAAAUUAUAAUUAGUAGUGCUACAUUAUUUUCAAAUUCAAGUACUAGAUUGUUUAAGCCAAACUUCCUUUAUGCUGAGCUACUUUUUCCUUAUUCUUUAAUUUCGUGAAGAAGCCCAUGACCAUUUGGUGGUUUCCAAAUAAGAAGAAGCUUUGAUACCAACUUGAGAUCCCUAAAUGAUUAAAGUUCUACUUUGGUAGCUGUCCAAUUGUUCAUAACCUGCCAUUAUUAGGCGCCUUUCGGUUCCUCAAAUUAAAACUUAGAAUUUAAAGCAAUUAUCAAUUAAAUGGGACUAUCUCCUCCUUUUAGAACUAAACUGCUAUGAAAUUCAAAAAAAAAAAAAAAAAAAGAACUAAACUGCUAUGAAGAUCAAUUGAAGUUCAUUUUUUGACAUAAAAUAAACAAGAAAGGUACAAAGCACUUAUGGAAGGAGAUAGAUCUUUAAUUGAGAUCUAACCAAUUGUUAAACCUAACCUAUCAUGAUUAAGACCAAUGCCAAUUAAAAUUCAGUUUACAAGGGAAACAAUGUUAUUCAUGAUGAGAACUGUUUUGCCUUUACAAUACAUAUGCAAAACCAAAACCCCAGACAUGGUACAAUCCAGAGUUGGGAACAGGACAUGACAAAAUAUAGGAUUACUGUCCCUCUAUAUAUACCACACACAUUUUAUGUGGAUGUUAAAGUUUACUUAACCCAACUGCAUGCCCAAAAUAAAUCCAACUAGCAAGAAAAGAAUGAAAUCAAUCAUGACCUACAACAAUUCCAUUCCAAAAUCAAGAGAGAUUUUCAAUAUGUUCUCUGGCCGUGUCCCUACUUGCUAGCAAAAAUAUAGAUUAUGAAAAAGGUUCGUGUAUCGUUAAUAGUGGAGAUAUCAAUCUGACACACUUUUAUGGUGGUUUUUAACUGCCACAAAAUCAUAAAGCUACUUUUUUUUUCCUUCUAUUUCUCCUAUGUGGCGGUUAGAAACGGCUAAACAAUAGGUGUCCGAGUGAUCUACCACUAUUUGAUGGUUCAUCAACCAUUAAAGUAUAGAUUAUUAAUAUGUAGGAGUGGUCACAGCAGCUAGGCCACAUCACAAACUUUAACUAUAUCCUCAUUAUUCUGUCUUGACCUUAUAAAUAGUUUAUUCUGUUUGAUUGUGUGUUUCUUCAAGGUUAAUUAACUUUAAUUGGCAUCUCUCCUAUUAAUUUAUUCAUUUCUUAAAAUAUAAUUUGGUGCAACUUAGGUUAAGUAACUUCGUUCUAAUAGCAACUGGUUCUCAUACAUCUAAUAUAUAGAUUGUGACAGUUUUUUUACACUCACAAUUUACAAAGUAUUUUAAAAUAUGAUCUUAAUUGACAGUUUUGAAAAGCUAUAUUAACCAUUACAAAAUUUACGUGUCUAAUUGUUGGAGGUAAAAAUCUCACUAAACGUGUUUUUUUUUACUCUAGUCGCCGUUGAAAAGCAUUAUAAACUCGUAUGCCAAUUGAAUGUCGCAUGCUUCCAUGGUCUACGUACAAGGACUUUAUAAUAGUUUUAUUUAUGAAAACUUACAUAAAAAGUGAGUGGGGGCAAUUCAAUAGUACUCCUAACAUUUGUAAAUACAUGUCCAUAUGUGUUAAAAUUUAACUUGCUUAGAAGUCCUUUUAACUACUAAACCAGAUUUUUCUCUAACACACUUAUUGUUAUUGUUCCUACUACAAGAAAGUUACUUAAUGUGGGAUAGGUUUAAAAACUUUGUGAUGCAUUAAAUAACACUAAAUUAUUACAAAAGCAUAAUAAAGCCAAGAAAGAAUUACGAGGAGACAGUUCCUUGUGUUUACUUUCCAAAACAGCAGCACAUCACUAGAUUGCAUCAACUUCACACACGACAUCACUGAUCACAGACAAACUUAGAUCAAGCUAAUAAUUUAUUUUAAAGUAUAAGGUUUAGAGGCUGCACAUGCUUCAGCUCAAUUCUAUACCGAUUAUCAAAGAUACCAAAAGCACUAAUCGGUAAGCUUAGUAGCCUUAAUUAGCUUAUUAACAUAUAAUUAACCUCCCACACACAUAAUAAUUAAUAUAUCAUCUAAUAAUUAACUCCAUAUAUCUAUAUUGCUCUGGCUCAGGCAGCUAGCUCAGACUGUGGCUACGGGUCCCACCUCCACAACACUACUGGACCUGGCCUUCAUAACUUCAAACCUUGGUUCUUUAGCCUGGAACUUGACACCAAGAUAGAGCUUCAUGUAAUCCUCAAAAACAAACUUUGGGUACACUUGGCUUGUCUCAUCUUCCUUCACCAAAGAAGGUGCUGGAGAAAUGACAGCAUCAUCCCCUGGAUUGUAGAAUGAAGCUAGAGACAUUCUGGCACCAUCUGUUUGAGCAAUCACCCUGUGCAUCACACUCUUGUACUUCCCAUUGGUUAUGACCUGUCAUCAAAUAACAGAAAAAAACAACAACCUGUCAAAUUAUACAACAAACUAAAAAACUUAUGGGCAAUACUAUGCUAGUCCACCAACCAUAUAUGUUAUUUACAGUAUAUGCUCUUUAUGCGUUAAUUAGAAUUAAUUUAUAAAUAAACUCUUUUAAUUUGUGAUAAAACUUAUGUAUGAACCUCAAGUUGGUCGCCGAGGUUGACGACAAUGGAGUGACGCAUAGGGGGGACAUCAAUCCACUGGUCAUCCUUGAGGAGCUGCAGUCCACUGACUUUGUCAUCUUGGAAGAGGAGGAUGAUGCCACCAGCAUCAGUGUGAGCUCUGAGGCCCUUGAUGAGAUCAGGCUUGGGACAAGGAGGGUAGUUGCUAACUUUGGUCCCAAAAUUUGGUCCCUUGGAACCAUAGAACACCUUCUUCAGGUACCCUUUCUCCAGCCCAAGAUUCUCACACAGCAAGUCUAGAAGAUUCUCUGCCAGUUUCUCCAACUUCACUGCAAAUUCCUUCAUCACCUUCCUGAAGCAAAAAGUACCCCCCAUGAGAGAAAGAUCAAGCUUCUAUUCUAUAAAAAUAAGCUAACAUGUGCAAAGACAUGUUAUAAUUAACAAAUAGUAAUUAGUAUCUCUCAGAUUAGUCACUGCUGCUUGAGCAAAAAAAUAGUAAUUAGUAUAACCUGUAAUCUUCAUCAAGAUCUGGAACCUCUGAAAUGUUGGAGGAUGGAAGGUGGCGCAAAAAGAAGGUGCUUUCCCAGUCCAAGUCAUCGAUUUCUGACUGAACAGUCUCAAGACCCUUGGUGGCAACCAUUUCUUUAAACCUUUGCUCCAUGAACCUUUUGUAGUGCUCCUUUGUGAGCCUUUCCACAGUGUCCAUAAACUCAGUGGAUAUCUCAUGGUUCACCAGCUUCAUCAGAAAAAGAAGAAAAAUUAAGGAAACAUACAUAAAAGGUAUAUAUAUCAUUAGCCAAGUUUUUUUCAGCAACGUGUGCAAGAGAAAUAUAAUACUAACCUCAAAGAAACCCCAGUUCUCACAAGCAUCUUUUAUCAACUCCAUGGUUGCUACUCUCUCUUCGGUGUUAAGCUUGGACAUGUCAACAACUGGAAAGUUUGCCAUUUUCUUCUCUUCUCUCUCUCUCGCUUUAAUCAGUUGUAGGGAUUGGUGAGUGUGCAAUUCUCAGAGGUGUAAUGUGAUGUAUUUAUAGGCCUCCAACUUCAAGGCAACCGCUAAGAACGGAAAAAUUCUCAUUUAAUUAAGAAAAAGCAUGUUGUCUUAAUCUCUACAAGACUACGAGUUGUUACGUAUAUAGGGAUGUCAAUGGGUACGGCUGAGCAUAGAUAGUAUAUACCCACCACCCGUUUUACAUGUAAAAAUUUAUAUCCAUACCCGCUUCAUACCCACAUAGAUAUCCAUUUAGUGGGUUUUAACUGAAUUUUAAACUAUCCGUGGAUAUCCAUGGGCACCCGACACUCAUGAACAUAAAUGAAUUCACAUAUAUUUGUUCAAAAUAAAAUUAUGUUAAAUAUAAAAUUUAACAUUGGACUUUACAGUCAAUUAAUGUGUAAAGGAAAAUACUUCUUUUCUACUCUUUUUUGGGUCUAAGGGAUUCUUUUUACCAUUACCAUUGUAUAAGUUUACUUGAAAGAGAACUAUAACUCAAACACAAAUUCAUUAUAUAUUUAAUAUACAUCUAUGUAUACAUAUUGAAGAUAUUUUAGUAUUUUAUAUAUUGGGUGGGUAUCCGUGGGUAUGGAUACAUCAAUAUCCGUACCCGCCCCAUUAAUAAAUGGAUAGUGAAAAUAUUCAUGAAAUAAAUCCGUGGAUACCCGUGGGCAUGGGUAAUUUUACCCAUAUCGUGUUUUAUCUGCGGGUAUCCACGAGUGUGGGUAAUUUUGACAUCUCUAGUUACAUACAUAAUCCCAAAAAAAGGAAUUACUGUGUACUGAUAAAUUAAUUUAAUAACACACCUAAAAAUAAUUAGCCACUGUGAAAUACUUUGAAUUCUAAACUCACUUAGAAAUAUAGUUAUUCAUAUUAUUUUUAUCCACCAUAAAAGUUUUUGAGAUAACUGGUUCAUAAAAUAAAAAAUAACAAAUUACAAAUUUAAACUGUGAAGAAUUGAAUAGAUAAAAUAAUGAUACAUAUAUUUUUAAAGAUUAAAAUGGAAUUAUCAAUAAGUAACUAAUAUUCUUCAUUUCAACACAAAAACUAAUAUUCUCUUAAAAAUUCCAUAUGACCAUAUCAACUGACACUAGCUCUGUCUGUUAUCAAUCUUGCAAGUAGUUCACGGACUCUCCCACACACUGACAUGGAAUUGUUUUUGGCCAAUCAUGAAACUUUAACUAUAACCAACCCAUGGGCGUCCUCAGUGUGCAGCCAAUUUAUUGAACCUAGUUUUUAGUUGUGAAUAAUUGGGAAUUUACAACUAAGAUGUCAUAUUUUAACCCUUUCUAACUAAAUAAAGUAGGGUUAAAUAUGUUUUUGGUUACUCUAAAAUAGUAAGUUUUCAUUGGUCUAGUUUUGAAAAAAUUCUCUGAUUUUGGUCUCUAUAAAAUAGAGAAUUAUUGAUUUUCCUUCCUCCAUCCAUUUUGUGGCGGUGGAUGGAGGGACCAAAAUAAAAAAUUAAUUAUUUUAAGAAGACUAAAAUGAAUGAACAAUUUAAAGGGGGACCAAGUUCAAUAAUUUGUUAUAUUACGGGACCAAAAACAUAAUUAACCCAAUAAAGUAUAUUUUCUCUCACUAACGAAGUGCCCAAGUAAAAAAAUGCUACUUCGGAACCGAAAAUUUGAGAGUUCUAAGUAUAAUCUAUUACUUGAAAAUAUUGAUGGCAUUUAGUGCAGUGUACCACUUUAUUUGUUUUAGCUACCGUUUCUAGAUUGAAAUGGGUGAUUUGGGUUCAAGAGUGUUGAAUCUAAGCCUAUGAGAGAUCUGGCUAGACUCAAGGACAAUAGGCUUAUUCUCUUUGAAUGGGCUACCUAGCUUGCCCUCCUUCAUGUGUGUUGGUGAUUUUAGUAUCAUCAAUGGAUUUUAGUAAUAAUGUGAUUUAUUGUAGGCCGAUGCGAUUACGCGUUAAACUCGGAAACGAGUUAGGGUAGUGCGGAGUGCACGCUUGUUGAGCCAACGCAUAAUUGACCACGAUUAGAUUGCGGAGUUCCAAGGGGCACAGCCCGGUGCGGGGCAGCGCCCCGCUCUCAAUUUUUCAAAAAGUUAACUGUUUUAUUAACCGUUUUCGGUUUCUGAAACAAACUCCAAUAUAAGGAGUCAUUUGGCCUCAGAUACAUAUACAGAAAACAGAAACCAUAUAUUCUCUCGACAUUCCUGAUCUGUUCUCUAUUGCCAGAAACAGAUUGUUCUUCAAGAAUUAUCCCAACAAGGAUUUCGUGAACCCAGGCAAGAAUAGGGUCGAAAUACUUUGUUCGAAAAGUGUACGAACACAAUGCUUCGAAUUUAUCCAGGAUUAUCAUACUCAAAUUUCUAACAAUGUGUACAUAGGCGACCUCUUCACAAGUUGCUUAAACGAUUAUGAUUUAGAUAUUUUAUAAUAUUGAAUAGGUCAAGACAUGUGUUAGGAGCGGUUACGCAAUAAUCUAAGAUUAUCAAAGUAUAUAAGGGGUGAAUUACUUUAGGGAACGUUAUGUUCACUAAAAUAUUGAAAAGUCUAAUUUUCUCUCAUUCUUUGACAGGUCCUGAUAUAAUUGUAAGUUCAAAUCAAUUACUCUGGAUUUAGAUUUAGAAGAAACCAUUGAUGGUUUCAGAACUAAAAAGAGGAGGAUGCUUUCAGCAAUUGAGUAGUGCAUGCCACUUGAAAGAAUAUAGAAAUAAACAAAGUUGGGUGGGAAACUUUAAUCUCGGGAAAAGGAAAUUAAAGACAGAAGAGAAAAAUGAUAGGAAGCCAAGUUUAAUCUCAAAGUUCUAAAAGACAGAGAGCACAGCAACUCGUGGAGAAUGUAUGUAAGCACAUAUUGAUGGACCCCUACGUACCAUCUUUUGUCACUGAGGAUUUGAGUUAUCUUCAUUUUUAGUAGGGAAUGGAAUGGGUCCUGCUUGGGUGGCUCUUCAACCAUCUCUUGGUUUCCUCAUAAAUUGACCCAAUUGCGGGUACGAAUCAAAAGAUCUUCUGUUUCUAAAUUGAUUAUAGUCUCACAAGUAAUAUUUUAUCAUGUCAAUUAAAAAAAUAAGAGGAUACAAUUAUGAACUUGAAUGACAAUUUUUAAUUGUUCACGCUCGUGUUGUUAGCCAUAGCGUUCCUUCUGAGGGUAAAACGGGUCAGCACCAAGCCAAGAAAUAGAAUGCAACAUACUCACUUGUUAUAAUUAAGAAGCAAUUCAAACAAGUUAAUACAUCAGAAGGCCCCUGAAAUUGUAAAGGGAAUCAGUUUGAGGACCUGUAAAAUUUUUGCAUCAAAUUGAGUCCUUAAAUUUUUUUUUUUUAAUUCAAUUAAGGCCAAAGUGUGUCAACCGGUGAUGUAGCUCGAUUUUUAACCCACUCAGCAUUUCCACCUGGCUUUUUCGUUUUUUUAAUACAAUUAAUUCCAAAUCUUUAUUUUUAUACCAACUCAUAACUUAAAAAAAAAAACUUAAUCUAACCUAAUAACUUAAAAAAAACCAACUCUAAUCAAAUACUAAUCUCUAAUCUAAUAUGAGAAUCCCCAAUUAAGCACUGACUAUUCAUCUUCAUUCUUCAACCCCAAUUUCAACCCUAGAGUGGAAGAAGAUAGAACCAUCUUCUCCCCAGACCCCUAGUUCUCUAUCUUCAGCCGCCACCCCUUCCUCUCCCCUCACCUUCUCUCAUCUUCCCCUUUCUCUUUCUUUUCCUCUCUUUCUCCCAAGGCCAUGGUUGAAUGAUUGUGGUGCCUUUAAGCAACCCCAACAUCAGAAGAAAGAGAUGAAGGUGUGGUGGUCUCGAUCUAGUUCGAUCCGUGUUCGCUGGGUCUCGAUCUUGGGCUUAAACUCGCGACGGUGACUUUGGCUCCGGUACGGCUGGGUCUUGUAAGGUUUGUAAGAGGUCUGUGUUUUUCUUUGNNNNNNNNNNNNNNNNNNNNNNNNNNNNNNNNNNNNNNNNNNNNNNNNNNNNNNNNNNNNNNNNNNNNNNNNNNNNNNNNNNNNNNNNNNNNNNNNNNNNNNNNNNNNNNNNNNNNNNNNNNNNNNNNNNNNNNNNNNNNNNNNNNNNNNNNNNNNNNNNNNNNNNNNNNNNNNNNNNNNNNNNNNNNNNNNNNNNNNNNNNNNNNNNNNNNNNNNNNNNNNNNNNNNNNNNNNNNNNNNNNNNNNNNNNNNNNNNNNNNNNNNNNNNNNNNNNNNNNNNNNNNNNNNNNNNNNNNNNNNNNNNNNNNNNNNNNNNNNNNNNNNNNNNNNNNNNNNNNNNNNNNNNNNNNNNNNNNNNNNNNNNNNNNNNNNNNNNNNNNNNNNNNNNNNNNNNNNNNNNNNNNNNNNNNNNNNNNNNNNNNNNNNNNNNNNNNNNNNNNNNNNNNNNNNNNNNNNNNNNNNNNNNNNNNNNNNNNNNNNNNNNNNNNNNNNNNNNNNNNNNNNNNNNNNNNNNNNNNNNNNNNNNNNNNNNNNNNNNNNNNNNNNNNNNNNNNNNNNNNNNNNNNNNNNNNNNNNNNNNNNNNNNNNNNNNNNNNNNNNNNNNNNNNNNNNNNNNNNNNNNNNNNNNNNNNNNNNNNNNNNNNNNNNNNNNNNNNNNNNNNNNNNNNNNNNNNNNNNNNNNNNNNNNNNNNNNNNNNNNNNNNNNNNNNNNNNNNNNNNNNNNNNNNNNNNNNNNNNNNNNNNNNNNNNNNNNNNNNNNNNNNNNNNNNNNNNNNNNNNNNNNNNNNNNNNNNNNNNNNNNNNNNNNNNNNNNNNNNNNNNNNNNNNNNNNNNNNNNNNNNNNNNNNNNNNNNNNNNNNNNNNNNNNNNNNNNNNNNNNNNNNNNNNNNNNNNNNNNNNNNNNNNNNNNNNNNNNNNNNNNNNNNNNNNNNNNNNNNNNNNNNNNNNNNNNNNNNNNNNNNNNNNNNNNNNNNNNNNNNNNNNNNNNNNNNNNNNNNNNCUUGACCUGAUUACGAAUUCGUCUUGGGUGUUCUCUUGGCGUUAUGGUCUUAAGACCAAAACCCAACCAAUCCUUUACAAACAGGCUCUCAUCAAAUGGUGGAAAAUCUUUGAUGCGACAAAAGCCCACAAAGAAAAUGUGAGCCAAUGGUUCAAAACCAAUCAGAAAUAACUCAAGCAUGCAAGUCCGCAAACCAGCCUCUUGCUAAAUCAAAAGGCCCACAUCACAGCGGCCCUUGCAGGAGCUUCAACAGAAGAAGACUUGCUAAGAAAUCUUCAAUCUGCUCUUCAAUUAUUGAAGGAGCCAAUUGAGCAGGCCUCAUCUUCAAAGGCCCCUCAACACAAAGUCUCCGAGCCAUCCUCUCUUGGGUCGUCAGAUUUUGUCCAAACCACAGAAUCAGAUGAUGAUGACUUCUGCUAAGUUUGUCGUCUUGUAAUCAUUUUGUUCUGUAAUAAUUCAAUUUUUGUACUGUAGCAACAGUAAAAUUGACUUUUUACUGUAGCAAAUAGUGCUUAUCAAAUAGUACCGUCUACCGGAACUAUUCAACCGGAACUAUUCAAACAGUGUCCAAUCUUUUCUUUAAAUAGGCUCAUUCUGAACCUUGUUAAUCAGAGUUUGGUAGAGCUUAGAUAGAGAGUUUAGAGAGAGAAACACUGAGAGAAUUCCUUCUGUAAGUUCUCCUUCAGUUUUCCUUUCUUUCAAUCUUUUCUGUUUUUAAGUUUCAGUUUUUCAGUUUUUAAGUUUCAAUUUUGUAAUCUAUGUUUAUGUAAUAUAUAUCUUGUUCAAGUUUUAUUUUUCUGUUUAUGGAAGGCUGAGCCUCCUGUUUUAAUUGUUCAAGUUUUAUUUUGUUUAGUUUCUGCAAUCUAUUUUUCUGCAAGAAGCCCCUCCGUGGUGGCGUCCUACUUCUCUUAAUCCUCUUCUCAUCCCCCUCCUUCUGCUUCCGACCCCCUCUUGGUAUCAGAGCCUGAUGGGGAAGUAGGAACAUGCUAAAUAUGUAUAUAUAUAUAUAUAUAUAUAUAUAUAUGAUGACUAGUGUAAGAAAAGUUUGUUGAUUGUAGGUAGUGUUGCCUUGUUUUUUACAUAGUAUGGUGCCAUAUGGCGAGCGCUUGGUGAAGAUACACUAUGUCUUCGUGCUUUAGGCUUAGUGUCAUGGAAUUGUGGAGUGGACAUGAGUGACCUAUCCUCUCUUCUAGUUGAUGCCUUUAUUGGGUCAUAGUGGGUGAAAGAUGCAUCGAGAUAUUCGGGCGACUAGGGACUUCAUUAUUUGGCGAGCGACCACUCCUUGGUGACUCCUUCAUUCCUAUGAGCCAUUAUCUGGUGUGUGACUCCACUAUCUAACGAGUGGCUCCCAUAUCUAGCGAGCGAUUUCACAUCUGGCAAGCCAUUAGCCGCGACCUCCUCAUCAUUCAGCCAAUCUCUUUCUUGUGUCGUGAUCCUGCCUUGUUUAUGUAUAUUAGCCACUUCUUAGGAAAUUCAUGUAUUAUUGAGAGUUUUUCUGACCUCAUGACUUAUUAACGAUUUAUGUAUGUUUUAUGCCCAUUUUGACAUGGGUCUAUACUUUAGGGAGAUUUACAACUAUGGUUACACCCUUAUCCCCUUAAAAGGUAAAUAUUGUAAUGCUCAUGUUCAUCAUGAUAGUAAAACGGCUAGACUUAGGGUUCCUGUUCCUCUAGUGGGAGCUUUGAAUUUGGUCUAGGUUUACACUGCAACAUUUUUUACUUUGAGCACACUAGUUUAUGCAACAGGUAAAAAUUGUUUGAAAAUGUAUUUGGAACUAGUUUGUGCUUGUCGUUGUAAAUGUUUCAUUUUAGGUAACAGAACAAAUCAUUAAUUAUGUGAUAGAAAUCAGUUAUUACGUGAUAAUUGUUGCAUGUUGCACACAAUUGGUUACAUUUUCUUAGUGCCUGUUUGGCAUCCCGUUAGAAACUGGUGUUUGAAUUAACGUGAUUUUGUUAAAAUGAUUUUGAGUAAAAGUGUGUUCGAGUAAACGUGAUUUAUGUUUGGAUGAUUUGUAACAAACGUGAUUUUAAAAUAAUGAAUACCGUUUGGAUGAUUUUAACAAACGUGAGUAUUUUCACCCAUCAACGCUGAACGCCCAACGCCAACGCUCAAAUUUUUAGAUUCCAAAAAAACGUGAUUUUGAUGCAAAAAAAGCGUUAACGCGUUAAGAAAAACGCAGAUCCAAAUGGCUUGGCGAAACGACAAAACGGCGUUUACGGCAACGCAACGCACGUUUGGCCUCUCCAACGCCAAUCCAAACAUGCCCUCUCCAACGCCAAUCCAAACAGGCCCUUAGUGUUGUCAUAGAAUAUGAGAAACUAUUAGCAAAGCGAAUAGAUAAUGGUGAGACAUGACACUGUUGGAAAAACUGCGAAAUAAAGUACUUGAAAUAUUUUUCGUGUCUAUAGCUGCACUUUUUAAAAUGUUACAAAAAACAAAAGUGUUGUAGUGUCACAACGCGAACAAGGCUAUUUCCAUAACUUGAACUUGUAACAAUAUCACUAAUUUCUUGGGAAAAAUUAUGAAGAGGUAAUUAAUUUAUGGUAUUUUUUAAGCUGUAAUUAUAUAAAUGAAGCUGAUAAAGAUGUGUCAGUUUUAAAGGCUUUGCUUGAAAGUUGAAAGAGAUAUGUGUAUGACUGUCAAUUAGACAUUCUGUCAUUGUUAUUACAUUCCAAACGAAAACUUGUGCAUUUAGUCAUAUAUCAUCUCUUUUGGAAUCUAAGUUUCUACUCUGUUAAGUUAAAACCAUGCGUUCCAACUAAUUACAGGAAUAUAUGUUCACACUUUUAAAGUGUGACAGGCAUUCAAAUUUGUACCAAGAUCUCCGGCCUUAAAAAAUAUGACAAUAUUAUAGUUUGUCAAAUCAAUAUAUGAGAAUCAAAUCAUUCAUUAUGUUGUUUUGAACAGUCCCGUUAGGAAUCAGUAUAGUUAACAUGCGCAAUUUGAUUUGCUUCCAUCAAACAGUGGCCAUUAGGGAAUAUAAUCAAGUAUAGAAACACACAAUGAGGAAAAAGGUUAUUCUUUUGGAAUAUUUACAGGAAGUUUUAUAUUUUUCACUUUUGAGAUCAAAAUAUAUCAACAUUGCACUCAAGAACCAAACGACUUGCAAACAAGAUGCAAAAGAGAUUUCCAUCAGAACUUCUAAAGAAAGUUAGCGUUUAUUACAAAUUAAGAAUCCUAACUUAGAUUAUUAAUUUGAGCACGUCAAUUAAUAAUCCUCCAAUCACAAUUCAGAUAACCCCUCCUAUCUUGUUAUUCUAUAUAUAGCUAGUUCCCAACUUUCUGUUACAAUAGCCCUCUCAGAGUUAGUUACAUGUUUAAUCAGUUUAGGGGUAGCAUGUGGUAUUAACUUCCCAACAAAAUUUUAUUAAACGCGUGUAACACUCUAAUUAGCAAAACACAAUACUAGCCUCAUUCUAUCGAAAACAAUACCAAUAAGGUGUUAAUCUAAUUGUAGGCAAUUUAGGCUCGUUAAUUAUAAGGAUAAGAACAUACGUCCAAAUUUUUGAAAAGUCAUCUAUUAGAAAAGUCUGUCACAAUUUCGUGAACAAGAAAGAAUUAUGUUGAAAACCUCAUCCUUAUCCUUAUGGAUGCAUGUAGUUUGGCUAGUUUUUUCAAAGGAAGGCAGACAUCGAAUCAUUGCAUCCAAUAACUAGAGUCUUUGCGGUUUGAGAAUCCAAUUUGAAGCUAAUGUCAACAACAUGGUUACAUACAAAGAAUGUCCAUUUUUGGCAAAAAAAUCUUCAUGUAGUGCUGAAAGCUCAUGAGGAGCCUACUGAAUACUGCAAGAGUGUCACUCACUAUAUCUAUAAAGAACCAAUAAUGCUCUGCUGAGUACCAAAAGUUUUGGAGUGCUCUUCUCAGGAAAAACAAGAACAAUAUCUUGAAAUCUCAGGACACAAUAAAUUUGAUGCGAAAGAUGCAGAUUAAGAUUCCAGAUAUAACCUGGUGAAUCGACAUGAGCCAGAAAUGAGAAAGAGACCUUCACGUUUACAAUUGAUUCUGGAGUUCAAAUCAAUUAUGAGGAGGAGCUAAUUAUGUGAGUAGCUUCUAGUAGUUAGAAUUGAUUCCGGUGAAAGAAAAGUUGAUCUGGACAUACUAAUAAAGCCAAUAUGCUUUAAAUCUUUCUCAAUUAAGCUUGCAAACUACAUGAGAGGAUAUCAUGUCCCACUAACUUAUAAAACAAUAUAACCAAAAUACUGAAAGGUUUUUUCAUGUUCAAUAAUAUGUGCAUUCUUUGCAUCAGAUGGGAAAACGUCUACUUUUGAAAACAGGGGGAAUCACAUACUUCUGCACACUUUAAUGUUUAUCCAAUUAUGGUGCAUAAGUGCAAUACCCUUUAAUAAUUUUGUAAUCACGUUUGUACAGGUAUUAUCUCAUAUAUUAGUAGUAAGGCGUUUAGGAGUAGGGAAAUUUCAGAUCAUUACGAAAAUGAAUCAAAAUGAACUAUUAUUGAGAACUAAAAAAGAGAUGUGGAGAUAGAAAAAUUCUGAAAGUGUGAGAUGUUGAGAGAAUUAAAAGAUAGUAUAUAGUAAACUCAGAUGAGUUCUUUUUUUAAUAAUAUAUGGAUUGAGGAAUGUCCAAUUAUCAAUCUUUCCUCUCUUUUCCUAAUCGAUCAAUGAUAUAUCUGUGGAUUGUCCGUCCGAAUCAAAAAAAAAAAAAUUACAUCAACAUGGGGUAGUUUGCUGAAACAUGGAUAAGGAAGCGGCGGAUCAGUUGUGAGGGAAAUAUUCCGUCGCAAUAUCCGUCACAAUGAACCUGUUUGGUGGAACAUGGAUGAUCACGAAACUUGUGACGGAAGAAUCGCUCACUAAUUUUCCGUCGCUAAUUCGACCUCUCUGACAAGGAUUUUGGGACGGAUCCAUUUCCGUCGCAAAAAAUCAUUGAAAAAGGUGUAACGGAUUUUGUUACGGGCAUAAUCCCUCCCAGAAUUACGUCGCUAUUUCUACCUCGCUGAUAAGGAUUUUGUGACGGAUUCAACUUCCGUCGCAAAAUCAGUUUUGGGUAAAUCGAUUUGGUAAAAGCAUUUUUCUAUCCGUCGCAAAAUUGUUUUUACUUUUACUAUCAGAAGGCCCAAAUAAAUCACAAUUAAACUCAAAUUGUGAUUAUCCACUGAGCCCACUUCAUCCACAGCAGUGUUAUCCACUUAGAGGCCAAACGAAUCACGAUUAAACUGGUUCCAAGAUUUUAUCUAAAUUUGCCCAGAUAAUCUAUAUGGCAUUUGUACAUAAAUACAACUUCUUGAGUGUUUCAGCGUCAUUUUAAAGCCACAAUCUAUAUGGCAUUUGUACAUAAAAGAUUACAUCCAAGUUGAUAUACAACAGAGGUUUACAGAACCUCAAUUUCAUUAAACAUCAAGCUUUAUUUCAUUCUCCUGGUACCUUUGUUUUAUACUCAAAUCCUCAGGUCCAAGUUUAUAAUAUCAAUCUUAAUUUCAUCAGCAGAAUAGUGCUUGAAAAUUCUCAAAACACUGGCUUUGAUGGAGCACAAAAAGUUCCAUUGCUCUAUAAAUUAAGACAUAUAUGAAUUUUUUUUUAAAGUGUAAGACAUAUAUGAAUAUGACAGUACAAAAAUAUUUUUCAAAAACAACAAUGGGCUGAAAUUGGCCAGUUACUUUGUAUACCUAUUCAAUGCCCUGUCUCCAAUUAACUUCAAAGCCCAGCUUCCAACUUCAGUUUGUUCAACAAAAAGUUCUAACUACAGAAAACAGAAAAUACUAUUUAAGUAGGUUUUACAUUAAGGGAAUUCAUUCCAGUUUGAUCACAUUUUGCAUUAUUAAUAAUUACUUAGAUUAUUGAAACUGAGUAUUCAAAUAAUUAAAUAAAAUAAUUUAAUAGCUGUUAUAGUUAAGUACCAUAAUAUAUAAAUGAAAGAAGAAAAAAAUGACAUGGAUAAUAAUUUAUUAACUUUUUUUACACAAGAUAUAUAACUUCAAAGGAGCUAGUAACAUUGUUGAAACAUUUAAGCAGUAUCAUUAACAAGAACAAAUUUCCAUGUCCUCCAAAACACUUGAUGUUGUACUAUAUGCAUGUGCAUACAUUAAGUACAAACGCAAUCCUCUAAACACAAUUUGCAGCUACUCACCAGUCAUUCAAUUUCAUUUAAAUGAAAGUUCACAAAUCGGAGAACUCCUUGGACAUAAGGACAAUUCUUUCAGCAGUUUAAGCUUGUCAACUUUUAAUGGUAAGGAAGACAGAGUGCAUAUUGCCAUCGUCCGUAAAACUCUUGAAUUCUCCAAAAUAUAUUUUACAAAUUGCAGCUCACUUUCCUUGCCUUCGUAAUAUGUAAUACAACAUUUCCUAAGCUGUGAGGAAAGACAUUCAGGAACAAAACAGGGAGAAAUCCAAAUCAAAUCAGCAGUACUUGUGAUCAUAUCAAGGAAAAAACUUUGAAGCAUAGAGCACUGCUUGAGCAUUGCAAGUGCCAAAUGCCAGUUCAUACCACGCCACCAAACAAGCUCCAAAUGAGUUAAAUUGAGAAAAACUGGAAUGUCAUUCAGGUACUUGUCAAUGCAAAGAAAUUCUACAUUACAAAUAGCUUUCAGAGGAAUAUCUAAGCCAAUGGCAGAUAUAUCUGCCCUGACCAACUUAGAUAAGCUUUUAACGUUUUUAUUACUUGCAUUAGAAUCAACAUGGCUAUGAUGGUAUAUAUCCCACACUUGCAUAUCCUCAAGAUUUGGACACCCACUAAGAAGUUUCACGAGAUAUUGUGGUUCUGGAAAAGCAAUAUCAUUCAACUGCAAUGUUUUGAGAGAAGGAAGGUCAACAAAAGAAAACUCAUCAACCUCCAAACCAAAAAACUUGAGAACAACAAGGGUUUUGCAGGUGAAAAUGCAGCUCUUCAACCUCAGUAUAGCAACUGUAUCGGGUAGCUGGAUAUGGAGAUUCUCAAGUCCACCACGUUGCAUGGCAGCGUUGAGCCAUAUCUUGAGAUCGUGAUCAGAGACGUCGAAGUUGGAAUCCUCACAUUGGAGAUGAAACGUUGUAAUGGGUAGGUGCAGAUUUCUGGUGAGAAAGGUUAAAUUUAUGAAAUUGCGAAAGCAGUGAUAGGGUUUGUAUUUGAGGAGGUAGGUUUUGUCGUCGAAGUAGAGGGUAGGAACUGAGAGCCACAGUGGUGUCCACCGCUUUGAAAGAAUGCUUGUGGAUGCAGAGAUUUGAGUUGGAAGAAAAGAGAGAAUGUGACAUAGAACUUCAUCUGGUAACGUGCUAAUCAUGUCAACCAUUGUUAUUAAUUCAACUGCUGGGUUCUCUCCACCGCUGCUAGGGUUCUCUGUGAGGCCAGGUUCACUCUGCUAGGGUUCUUUGUGCCAGUUACAAAUAGGUUAUGUAGAUACACAAAAAUUGUUGACUUCUACAUUCUAGAACUGGCCCAAUGACUUUAUUUUUGGUCGAUGGCCCAAUGACUUUAAAAUAAACUUUUGUCUUUUUGAAGGACUAUUCUCACAAAGCCAUGAAAUGCAUAGAACCCAAAUCUGCAACUGACCCAAUAGCUUUUCACCAGCACUUAACUACCAACCCAAGCCCAAGAAACACAACUAGCAAAGAUCAUAUCUUUUUUUUGAGAGAAAAAUCAUUUUUUCACCCUACAGAAACAUACUUCUCAAUUCUCACUAGACCAAAAAAACUCUUCUAUCUCAUUUUCACUCGUCUUCACUUUUUAUCUCUAUUUAAUUCAUAUCAAAAUCAUCUAUCAUAUUUUUUAUUUUCAUUCUCUCUACCUAUAUUUCAAAGGUGGAAGUGUGUGUAUUAAAGUGUUAAUGAAACAUUUAUUCAUUAAUAGUAUAAUGAUCAAGAUGCAUGUACCAUAAAUUCAAGUAUGCUGCUCCAAUCAUGAAAAAUAACUUUUAAUUAAGGAUUGUGUUUUUGUAUGAAUUUUUAAAAACAAUGUUUUCUUUUUAAAAUAGAAAUUUCAUCUCUUAGUGAAUUUGGACCUUAAAGUCUAAUAAGUUCACGCGCUUAGGAGUUUGGAGGGCUAUAAUCCUCGCCUGAUAAAAUAAUCAAAAAAUCUUUCCCUAAAACAUUUGAUAGUUGUUGUCAUUAGGAUUCUUCAGGAGUUAACCCUCUUUAAUGGACAAUGUCUCAUAUUUUGAUUCUAGCAAUAAAUGAUCGUCAAUAACCCUUGAAGUCAUUAGACCCACUACAAUGACAUUUAUAAGGCAAUAAUAUACGCAAUGGCAGAGAGAAACCUCUAGCCAUCCAAGAGACAGAAAAAAAAAAUCUAUAAAAGCGACCAAAAAGCUAUGAGGAAUGCAUUUUCUCCCCUCUGCACUAACUUCACUCCAAAUCUCUAAUACUACUCAUCAUCGCUGACCCUAAGCUUACCCCCGGUUCUAUAGCGAAACAAAUUAAAUUACGUGAAUCAAACCAACCCAAUUUUAAUUGGUUCAGUUGAUUCAUAUUUGAUGAGAAAUAUUUACAUUAACAAAUUAAACUAAUUAAAUUUGAUAAGUUGAGAUUCUAUUUAAAUCAAAACAUGAAUCAACUCAACCCAUAAACAUUCUGUAUCAUUUCAAUAUUUCAUAGCAUAUAUAUACAAUACACAAAGAAAGUAAAAACAUUUGGAGAGGUAACAAAAUUUGGAGGGUUAACAAAUACAUGCAUACUCUCAUUCAUAGAAAUAGAGGGAGGAAAAAGGGAAGACAAAGACCACACUCAUUCUGAUUCCAAGAAUUUUUCAUUUCAUUUCUAGAAAAUGUCAAGAAUCUCGAUGAUGCUACGAUUGCAAAGUGGGCAAGACCCUCGAUUCAGCCACAGCUCCCGGGAACACACCCUGCAAAAAGUGUGCCCGCAUGGUAUGAACGCCGCACCUUUAUUCCUUCCCAUGCACACGCAACACACCGAAUCAUUCCCCUCUUCUCCUCCUCUUUUCUCCGUCGUCACAGCAGCCGAGUCCCCAACCUCCGUCUCCUCCAAUGCGUGCGGUUUCCGGAGGUUAAACGCAACCCCCAUGUGCCCCCACACCAACCCAAGCCGAUGAAUCCUAACCGUUCCUUGAAGCUCCGCCUUCUCCGAGCGCCUCCAUCUACGCCGUCCAUUUGCUCCCUUAGCAAGCCCAGAAUGGUUCUCUGCUCCCUCUGCGGUUCCCCGUCGUCACAGCCGCCGAGUCCCCAACCUCCGUCUCCUCCAGCAGCCUCAUCAACGACACCCUCCAUGGUGUCCCCGGCGCCCUACCCCCGCCCAUAACCCGUUCCCGUUCUCCCUGUGGCCCCCGGAGCUGUCGUUCCGCCGCCAACGCCGCCGCCAGAUUCAUUCCCGACGAGCUCGGACCCACGCAGUCGUGCCCCGGCAACGGUUCCGGAGAGCGUUGCGGUUGUUCUUCAGGCCUGACGGUUACCGAGGUUGAACGCAAUCCCCAAUUGGCCCCACAGAAAUUGAUAUCCAACCCCAACCCAGGAACACAAAACUGUGAAACCCAAAACAUACCCAGAAAUUGACUCAUCUGCAAUAUGAGACCGAGUUGACUCAUCUGUGGAGCUAGCUAUCGAGUUAGAAGAAGGUUGAGGGAGACAUUGAAGAAGGGAUGAUGAUGAUGAUGGUAACUAGCGACGGUGGUGGCACAGAGAUCUCGUGAAAGUGAAUAACAGGGGAAAAGGAAUUGGAAUUGUUGCGAAAUGCAGAGUGGGGGUUUAUGUUUAUUUAAUAGUGACACUCUGCACGCAUUGCAAGCUCCGUUACUUGUCUUUUGUGUGUGAAAUGAAAGCAAAGAAAUAAGGACAAAAUAGAACAAAUAGCACAAGAAAUGAAAAUGAGGUUUCUUUACAGAGUGUGUGUGACUCUUCUUUUUAUACUCUUCAAAUUAGUAAACUGAUCAAUCUCUUUCUUGGGGCUAGGAAAGCUAACCAUGGACGUGGACAAUGUACAAAUUCUCAAGUAUUGAGACGGUAGGAUUCGAACUCUAGAUCAUUUAGAGCAUUUGCAUUCUAAGGUUCUUAAUUUUCAAUUUUUAACAAUGUGUGAGCUUGUACGACCACAUGUGCUCUAAGGAACUUUUGUUUUGUUCUUAGCUUAAUGACUUACAUAUAAAAACGAGGGCUGAAGAUGGAAAAUGAUACUCAAUACGAAACAAAACUCACAAACUAGCUUACUACCGUAUGAUUUAUUUUCUUAAAUUAUUGAAUAAAAGUCAUCUGAAUAGUUUUAUAUUAUAUUUUAACCGCAGAACUCAAAAUGACUUAUGGAAGAUUUACAAUUACCUUACUCAAAAAGAUUAAUGAGGGUUGAAACAUGCUACAUAUGUGAUAAUAAUUGGAAUCUAUAUAUAAUAUAAGGUUCAUUUUAGUUGAUUUAUUGUUUAUUUGUACACUUGCUGUUGUUGUUCUGUUUGGCCGGCAUUGGCAAAGACUAAAGCCGUUGAAGCCGCCGGCACUCAACCAAAUAGCUCUUGCGGCAAAGGAAUAAUUGGGACUAGUUUCUAUUGAACACACACUUUAGUUGCAUUAUAAUCAAUAUUAUCUUAAGUGCCACUGCUUCAUUGGAUCUGGGACUUGUAAAAGCAAUUAGUACAAAGCUAUAUAGUAUAGAAACUUUUUUUUUAUAAGCAAAGUAUAGGAAACAAUUGGUUUAAGUGGUAGUACUUUGAUUUUCUUUAAGCAAUGGUUAAGACUUAAGAGAGCGGAAAAGUUGAAGUUAUUUAUUCUUGUCCAAUAUUAGGCAGCAUGACAGCACCUAAUUAUGUUAGCUAAACAAAGUUUAGGUUUGAAAGAUGCUACAACCCCCUUCUUCGUUAAUUAGUUGCACCAAAGUUAUUUAUAUAUGAUAUACAUCACGUAAUGAUGUGCAUUUACAAACAGAAAAGUUCUCUCUGCCUCUCAUUUUUAUUUUUUAUUUUUACUGACACAGUUCAAUGUUUUAUUAAAUUAUUUCUUCACCAAGAAAAAAAUAUUUAAAUUAGUGCUUUGAAUUUCGAAAGAACCUUGUUCUUUCAAUCCAUGCAUGGUCCCCAGUUCGUUUAUAUAUUUUCAUUUAAUGUCUCACUUUUGAUUGUUAAAUGGAAAAUAUUUUUCCAUUAUUAUUGUUGUUGUGGAGAAAAUUAAACAAUAAAACAUUAUUAGUCUGUUAGGCAUAGCCUGCGAAACAAAUAAUGAAAAAUAUGAGGAACGGGAAGAAGAUAAUAAUAAAAAUACAAGAGAAAAAUGGGAAGGAACAAAAUGACAAACGAGAACUGUGGUUUGGUAUGAGUGGGACUCAUAAAUCAAAGUAGCCACGUUAUGGUCAUCAUGAUCAUAAUCUUCCCUCCGUGAUUAAAGCACAAAUAGUUUAUUGAAAAUUAAAAAUAAUAUUAGACACAAGUAAGAAUAUAAAAAUUAGAAUUUGAUUUUAGCUAAAAGCAUUAUAUUCUUCAUAGAGAGUCCUUUUAAUCAAUGAUUGGCAUUGUUUGGUCAAUGGAGUCCAACUAAUCAACAUGUGGCGAUAAUGGACACCAUUUGUUCUGAAGCCUCCAAACUCGCUUGAGUAAUGAAUUGAUUGAUUUAUUUAGUAAAUUUGUUUGGUAAUUAAAAUUAAAAUAGUAAACUAGUAGUAGAUUUUUUUUUCAAGUAUUGUCGGUAGUCAUGAGAUUAAUUCUUUCAAAUCUUAUAAAUUAAUUAAGUAUGUAGGUUUUCUAAAAAAAAAUUCUUAAUUAUAGAACUCAGCUAUCUACUAGAUAUACUAAACUUUAUUAUUGCUGUAAACUAAUAUUUUAACCAUGCAAAUGCAAUGAGAAAAACAAUUAAAAUACAAAUAAACUAGCCUGAUAAUGAAUAAUUAUAAAUAAGAACCCAGAGAACAUCUGGCAUCUGCACAUGUGCCAAAGGAAACAAAUAGCAAGAAUAACUUUCUGGAAUCGUUGGCUUGCUUGCAUAUAUAUAUGUCCAAAAGAUGUAUUGAUGUGACCCAGGAAGGAUCUAGAGGUGAAGGAUGGGCCUGUGAGCCCAUUCUUGAUUUAGGGGAGUUUUAGUUUUUAAUUUCUAAUUGGGCCUGUUCCACACAGACAAAAAAGCAAUCAGAACAACAUUGUCAAUAGUCUUCAUCUGUAGAUUGAUUCCAAAGCAAUAACCUUCAUUAUGGUAAAAUGAAUCUGAUGAAGAGGAUGAUGGGAGAUCCCCUUUAUUAGAACUUGUGAUUGUUGCACGAGAUUGAUGGUUAUCAAAGCAUGUGGUUUGUGUACUCAAGUAGUUUGUCGACACACACCUUUUAAUUUGUUUGGCAAAGACUAGUCCCAGAACUCAUAUAUUCUGACUUCUGUCACUGGCCCAUUUAAUAUGACCGCUAAAACCGCCUUGAAUGCAGCAACAACCAUGUUUAGAGCUGUGCGUGCAUGUGUCUUUGUUACUUGUUAGUGCCAUGGUCCCCCACUUUUUGGUAGCCAACUUCCUUUUGCCAUGGGCCUUUGUUGUGGCCCGUUCUGUAUCCUUUGGGACUUGGCUUCUUGCCUUUUUAAUUGAAUCUGAUAUCAUUGACAAAAAAAAAAACACGAUUCUAUUGCCAUUUAUUACUCAAAACCCCGUAUUGCCCUUCUUCUAAAUCAAAUGAAAAUUGAAAUAACUAACUAUAUAAUCCCCAUGUGAUGCUAGCUCACCAUGGUAAUAUUAUUGUGUUUUUGUACACACUUCUGAAUCUGCUUGAGCUAUUAAAGUAUCCAACAUUUAAAUUAAUACGGUUAACUCAUCAUUGCAGGAUAAGGUUACAAUCAAAGGGUGGUUAUACUUAUACUUGUAAAUCAAGGUCAAUUCAGUAAUGUACACUAAUAUAUUUUUUUUUUAAAUCGUCUCAACCCGUAGAAUUUCGUAUGCUCCCACAUGGACGAUGACUAUUCUUCACCCCCACCGACUUCCCUGCCAUCCUUCUCUAGCUCACCAGAGAGCAAAGAUUCAUGCUCGAAAACACGAGGAAGAAACCAGAUUAUUGGGUUUCCCUCCCCUAGUCCAAACGUGUGGGGUUGUGCAUUUGUGUUAUCUUCUUUCUCCAUAUCCUUCUUUGUCGUCUUGCCUUGCUCGUCUUUGUGUUGUUUCUCUCCUCUCUUAGCCUUCCUUCCAUUUUCACGAUAGUUGAAAUAAACAUGAACAAGCAGAAUAACGAACUCCAAUACAGUGAAUCUUGAGGAGUUUUCUUCAUUGUCCUAUGCACCCUCUUCACGAAGGCAAUCAUGUCAUCAUCAUUAAUAUCAUAAUGUGCUAGUUAUGAGUACUAAAAUUUUAUGAUGAAUUGCAAGUAGCCAAGUAUUAUACUAAUAAUUAUUUUUAAAUGAUGUAUUAAAAUUGUUUUAAUUGGUAUAAAUGCAAGGACAAUAUAGUCUUUUGACAUAAAGGACACGCAAUUUUCAUUUUGCAACAUCGACAAAGUUUUAGGACACCUCUUAAUUCUCUAACACCAAUCGUUGGAUGUUAUAAAUCCACCGUUUCCCUUCCCUUCUCUUCUCCGUCUCUGGUUUGCUCUCUCUUCUCUUCUGCCAUCGCAAACUUCUCUGACUCAACAAUGACUUCAAUCUCUCACCUCAACCAACUCACCAGCAGGACCCUUCCGGCCACACCGCUCAUCUCCACGGCCUCAAUUUUCCCGCCGAGCACCGUCGGAAUUCGGAGCAAACCGGUGGGAACUCCGAGGAUCUCCGCACACAUUCCGAGACCAGUGGUGAUCGCCCGAGCGAAAACAAGCGACGAUGAAUGGGGUCCGGAGCCUUCCUCUUUAGCGGCGGUUACGGAGGUGGAGGAGAAACCGGUGGAGACAGAGACAGAGACGCUGAAGAAGGCUCUGGUGGAUUCCUUUUACGGAACAGAUCGUGGACUCAAAGCUACCAGUGAUACAAGGGCUGUGAUCGUUGAGCUUAUCACCCAGCUUGAGGCCAAGAACCCCACCGCUGCUCCCACCGAUGCUUUGACUCUGCUCAACGGAAAAUGGAUUCUGGCGUAAGUUAGCAGUUUUUUUUCAAUUCUAGCGAUGUUAAUUAGUUGAAUUUCUGGGUGAAUUUGAAUGUGUGGUUCUGCUUCAGGUAUACAUCGUUUGCAGGUUUAUACCCAUUGUUGUCAAGGGGAACAUUCUCUUUGGUCAAGGUAGAGGAAAUAUCUCAGACAAUUGAUUCAGAGAAUUUUGCAGUUGAAAACUCUGUUCGCUUUGCUGGUCCAUUGACUACAACUUCAAUUAGCACCAAUGCCAAAUUCGAAAUUCGAAGCCCAAAACGAGUGCAGGUUUGGUUCUAGUCUGAAUAUUGCAUUGAUCAUGCUAAGGUUGUGUGUGUUUGGGCAAACAGUUUAAGUAAACAUGUUUUUCACAUAAGUGCUUAUUCAUACCCUCUUAUUUGAAGAAACUAUUGAAAUAAACUCAAACAAAGCAUAUAGAUAAGCAUCGAUAUAUGCAUAUACAUACAUAAGCUAAUUUAUAGAUAGAUUAUAAGUUAUUUUCACUAGCUCACUCGUAUACUUGUCUAAGCGCUUAUGUAGUCAAACUCAAAUAAGCACUUUCACACACUACAUACAUUUGGAAGAGCUUAUUUGUGCUUAUGUUAUAGCAUAAACAUUUAUGCAAGUGUUUGAGAGCUUAUGUAAAUAGCUUAUGGCCUACUUAUAAUUUGUUUUGAGCAUAAUUUCAUUAGUUGUUUAAAUUUGCUUAUGGAUAAGAGUUUAUGCUUAUCUAUAACAAAAUUAGCUGAUGAAUAAUCGCUUAUUGUCAAAAGCGCUUAAUUAAGUUGUUUUCUCAAACGCACAAAUCAAUGAUCUCUAGGGUAACAUUGGAUUUUGACAGGAGCAUUUGCAUGAGCUCACUCAAAUACUUGUCUGAGCACUUCUGUCAUGAGACAAACUCAAAUAAGCACUUAGUUUUGUUAGUCUAAGAUCUUGAAUCCUGAUUUAGCUCCCAGAAGUGACAUUUUCUCAACUUGCAUGUUAUUCAGAUCAAGUUUGAGGAAGGUAUCAUUGGCACUCCUCAGCUAACAGACUCAUUAGUGAUACCAGAAAAUGUGGAAUUUCUUGGGCAAAAUAUAGACCUCACACCCUUCAAAGGCAUACUUACCUCUGUCCAGGACACCGCCUCAUCGGUUGUGAGAACAAUUUCGAAUCAGCCUCCAUUGAAGAUCCCAAUUUCCGGCAGCAAUGCUCAGUCGUGGCUGCUCACUACAUACCUUGAUGAAGAACUCCGCAUCUCAAGGGGCGAUGGUGGUAGUGUGUUUGUUCUUAUCAAGGAAGGCAGCUCUCUUCUGACAAACUAAACAAAUUGUUGUUUUAGUUUUUGGGCAUAUUAUUAUAUAAUAAUUUGUUGUUAUGUCUAUAAAAUAAGACACAAGUCAGAUUGUAUACAAUUAUGCUAUAGAUGCAUGUAUAGGAGGACAGUAUUAAUUCUGUUCUGCGUUUGACAUGUCAAAUUGUUGAUGACGGUUAAAUUUGUUAUUUUAUCAACAGAAGGCUCUAAAUUUACAACAUCAUAUAUAUCAAGUUUUCUAGUUAGACUAUCUUAGGAAGACAAGUAAGAUUAUGAAUUAUAUAGUUGAAAGACAGGUUAAUUUCUGCUACUGCUAUGUUGUCUUGUUUUGGUCCAAAUCUCAUUUAAUAUAAAUGAUAUUUUAAGAAUAUGAGUGAUUUAAACAACUCCUUAUAUUUUAAAUUUGUAGAUCUAGAUAGCGUUUGGUAGACAGGUGGGAAGAGAACAGAACACACGUUCCGUUCUGUGUUUGUCAUGCUUUUAAGAUGGAACAGAACAGGACAAAAAACUUUUAGAACAGGACAUUUUGGUUCCGUUGAAAAGGGUGGAACGGAAGAUAACGGAACGAGACACAAUUAAAAUAUUUUAUUGUGACGAAAUUACCCUGAGUCUAUUUUCUCAACUCUCCUUGUCUUUUUGUAGAGCCGUCUUCCCCAUCUCAACUUUCAUCAUCCAUAUCAUCCCAUCUUGGUUUCCACAAUCAAAGCCCUUACCGCUGUAUACAUAUACAUGGAUCGAUCGUCUUCUCCAACAUCAGAUCUACACCAAUUUCAAACAUAUAUACCAUUUUUAAUAUUUUACUUCUAAACUUAUCUGGAUUUUCCAAACUCAAUCCUCGUAACAAUAGCAAAGUUUUUUUUUAAAAAAAAUCAACAAUAGUAAGGCUUAUUAUUAUUGCGAAUCAGCCUCCAUUGAAGAUCCCAAUUUCCGGCAGCAAUGCUCAGUCGUGGCUGCUCACUACAUACCUUGAUGAAGAACUCCGCAUCUCAAGGGGCGAUGGUGGUAGUGUGUUUGUUCUUAUCAAGGAAGGCAGCUCUCUUCUGACAAACUAAACAAAUUGUUGUUUUAGUUUUUGGGCAUAUUAUUAUAUAAUAAUUUGUUGUUAUGUCUAUAAAAUAAGACACAAGUCAGAUUGUAUACAAUUAUGCUAUAGAUGCAUGUAUAGGAGGACAGUAUUAAUUCUGUUCUGCGUUUGACAUGUCAAAUUGUUGAUGACGGUUAAAUUUGUUAUUUUAUCAACAGAAGGCUCUAAAUUUACAACAUCAUAUAUAUCAAGUUUUCUAGUUAGACUAUCUUAGGAAGACAAGUAAGAUUAUGAAUUAUAUAGUUGAAAGACAGGUUAAUUUCUGCUACUGCUAUGUUGUCUUGUUUUGGUCCAAAUCUCAUUUAAUAUAAAUGAUAUUUUAAGAAUAUGAGUGAUUUAAAC
rnacentral:lncRNA from 1 species